CAGGUUGUCUAUCAACAACUACAACGCUGAGCUUGUGAGGUUAGGGCAUCCACAAUGUAUCACUAAAGUGGGCAUUAUGCAAUAAAUGCAGCUCUAAGGACAGGCAAUAUACAUUGUGGAGGUAGUCCAUAUGGCAUUAAUUGCUAAAGCAGUCUUUAGCUAUAUGGGCUGGCCACAAGGAAAUAAAAUACAAUACUUUUUCAGUUCACUGUGUACAAAUGAAUAUAAAAUCUAAAGCAGUUGGUGCUGGUGCGUGAGCAGCCGAGCAGGUGUCCGUUGAAGUAGCCAUUGCUGCUGGGUGUUGGCUCUCCUUCUCCAUGCUCCUAUAAAACAGACCAACAAGAGAUUUCAGUUUGUAUCUCUUCAUUUCAUCAGGAGAUGGAUUCAUCCAACCAAAAAUUCAUAGAUCUUCUCAGUCAAGACUCUCCAAACCAUGCAGAAAAGCCUAGCCACAACUCCCCUCCCCAACAAUUCCCCAAUAAUUUUCCCCAAUCUCAGUUUACCCAAAGCUUCAACCCACAUUUUUUACACAAUUUCUAUCCAUUUCAUUCCCCAAGCAACUAUCCACCAUAUGGUCAUUCUCCUCCCAGCUUUCAAGGUACUCCUCCAAGCUUUCAAGGUAUUCCACAUCAAGGAAAUUGGGCACAACCUAAUUUAGCCAGCUUACAAGGUUUCCAUUUGCAAGAAAAUAUGGUGCACUCACCAAAUCAGGGGUUUGGAACUGCAAACCACCAAGCAAUAUUUGCACUGCAACACCCCUCAGUUAGAGCCACUCCCAACAGUUCUUUCCAUGGGUCGGAGUCAUCGACUCCCUGCCCUGCAAGACAACAAGAAGCGCCAGUUAAUCUCGAGUCGUCAAGUGAAAGCAGCGAAGACAGAGGUGAGGAGAGCAACACGCACCAAUUGGACAGAAGAGGAGAACUUACGGUUAAUUAGUGCUUGGUUGAGCAACUCGGUUGAUCCUACAGAUGGAAAUGACAAAAAGGGAGAGUAUUAUUGGAAGGAUGUGGCUGAUGAGUUCAAUAACAACCGUCCUACAAAUGGCCACAAGAGGACAGUCAAGCAAUUGAAGACACACUGGGGAAAUGUUAAGAAGGACAUUGGGAAGUUUUGUGGAGUUUAUGCUCAAGUUAGACGUACCUGUACCAGUGGACACUCUGAUGACAUGAUCAUGGAAAAAGCUCAUCUAUGGUACAAGAAUCAAUCAAAUCAGAAGAAGCCUUUCACCUUAGAGUAUAUGUGGAGAGAGCUCAAGGAUCAACCAAAAUGGCGAAGUAUUAUCAAAAAGGAAGAAAACAAGAACAAGAGGACUAAGAUUUCUGAGUCAGGAGCUUACACAUCCUCAUCAAACCAAGAGACUGAAGAAGAAUCAUCAAACAAAGAGAGACACCCCGAGGGACAGAAGAAAGCAAAAGAGAGAUUAAAAGGAAAAGGAAAAGGAAAAGCUCAAUCUUCUCCGUUGGGGAACCAGCCAUCUCAGAACAUAGUUUUGUACAACGAAGCUAUGAAAAUUAAAGCUGAAGCAUUAUUGAAAUCAGCAGAGGCAACAGCAAAAUCAGCAGAGGCAAAACGGGAACAAAUAAGGAUGGAAAAGUGGCAGGCAUACAUUAAACUGGAAGAAAAAGAUACCUCUAAUUUUAGUGGAGAAGCUGAGAAGGCAUGAAGCUAUGUUGAACAAAUUAUCUAAAGAACUAGCUGAGGAAUAAAGGAGAAGCAUGUUAUUGUUCCACUGUAGUGCUUAGUGUAUGAUAAGUUUAGUUGUCAAAUUUGGUGUAUUGCUGAUGUACUUGUCAUUUUCAGAAUUUAGCUCUAGUACUAAUGUAAAAGCUUAGUGUACGAUUAAUUUAGUUGGCAAAUUUUUGUGUAUUGUUGAUGUACUUGUCAAUUUCAGAAUUUAGCUCUAGUACUAAUGUAAAAGCUUUUACUAUAUCCCCACUUGUAUUAUGCAAGAAAUCACAUUUUUUACCGCACAUCUCUGCUCUUAAUAUUAUUUUUCAUUCAUGAGUCAUGAUAAUCUUCAUGAAUACAUUGCAGUACAGAAAAACCCAUACUUACAAGAUGUAGGGAUAAUUUUCUUCGCAAUUCAGUUAUUACUCCAUACCUGCACAUAUAACCAUAAUAAGAAAUAUAGAUGAUAAGCAAAACAUAGCUGUUGGAAUAGUGCCAAAAGGAAGAAAUAGUUGUCACAAACUAGCUGUUGGAAUGCUGCCAAAAGUAAAAAAUAGCUGUUGCAAACUAGCUGUUGGAAUGCUGCCAAAAGUAAAAUAUAGCUGUUGCAAACAAGCUGUUGGAAAUGUAUCCUACAUAUAAGAGAUGAAGUGAGGAAGACACUACUCACAUUCUCACUACCCACUUCAUUCAGCCUCUUGGAAGAUACCACUCCCCUCUCACUGCCCCCUCCAUUCAGCCUCAACCAACUUAGGAAAAUGUCAGCCAACUCCCAAGAACAAUCUAAUCGUAUAGAAGAUUCUCUCACCAGUUCCAAUCUAGAAGAGUUGAUGUGGGAAGAAAUCAAUGACCCUAUGGAGGCUGAAAUUGAAGAUCAGAUUGAAGCAGAGCUAGAGGCAGAACUAGCUGGACCAUCUACUCAGCGUGGGGGCUACACACGCAGGUACAUCAACAGGGAUCAUGAAGAGGAUCAUAACAGAUUGUUUGCUAAAUACUAUUAUGACAAUCCUUUGUACACUGAUGACCAAUUUCGUCGGAGAUUUCGCAUGAGAAAGCAUCUAUUUUUGCGCAUUGUUGAAGCUCUUGGUGUUUGGUCCCCAUAUUUUCGUCUAAGACGAGAUGCAUUUGGCAAGAUGGGUCUAUCGCCACUGCAGAAAUGCACGGCUGCCAUCAGAAUGUUGGCAUAUGGUACACCAGCUGACCUUAUGGAUGAAACCUUUGGAGUAGCAGAAACAACAGCAAUGGAAAGCAUGAUUAAUUUUGUUCAAGGUGUGAGGCAUUUAUUUGGUCAGCAAUAUCUUAGGAGGCCUACUCAAGAGGAUACUCAACGUUUACUUCAAUUUGGAGAGGCACAUGGGUUCCCUAGAAUGUUAGGUAGCCUUGAUUGCAUGCAUUGGCAAUGGGAAAAUUGCCCGGUUGCGUGGAAAGGGCAAUUCCCCCGUGGUGAUUAUGGAGUAUCGACUAUCAUGCUAGAAGCAGUUGCCUCUGCUGAUAUAUGGAUUUGGCAUGCAUUUUUUGGGGUUGCUGGUUCUAACAAUGAUAUUAACGUAUUGGACCAGUCACCAUUGUUCACUGAGGUACUACAAGGAAGAGCACCUACUGUUCAGUUUACAGUUAAUGGGUCUGACUAUAAUAUGGGAUAUUAUUUAGCUGAUGGUAUUUAUCCAGAGUGGGCAGCAUUUGUGAAAUCUAUCAAGAGACCUCUGAAUGACAAAGCUAAAUUGUUCGCACAACGCCAAGAAUCAGCAAGAAAAGAUGUGGAACGAGCUUUUGGGGUUUUACAGAAACGUUGGGCCAUCAUACGUCACCCAGCGCGUCUUUGGGAAAGGGAAGAACUGGCUGAUAUCAUGUAUGCAUGUAUAAUUUUGCAUAACAUGAUAGUUGAGGAUGAAAGAGGCACCUAUGAUAUACCGGAUGACAAUACAUAUGAGCAAGGACAUUUUUCGGCACAAAUGGCAGGGCUUCACCAUGGCCCAAUCUAUGGAUUUGAAGACGUCCUAGAGAAAAACUUGUUGAUUCGUGAUCGAGCAACCCAUCGUCGUCUCAAGCAAGAUUUGAUGGAACACAUAUGGCAAAAGUUUGCUGGCCAACAACAUUAGAAUUUAUUACUUUUAUCACUCUUGACUAGUUUAUUAGUUUGUUAUUAAUCUUGUACUUUGCUAGUUUGUAUUCAUGCUCUCAUCUUAAUUUGCUAGUUUGUAUUCAGGAACCGAAUUUAAGAUUUACAUGUUUCUUGGACUGAGAUUUUAACUAUUUGUAUUUUGACUCCGAUUUGUUCUCUUUUACUUUUUUUUAAAUAACUCAAGCACAACCAGAACUGGAUAUUCAACCACAAGAUGAACACAUAUAUUAUUGUUGCACUAAAUGAAUCGAGCUGCAUGCAUACGACUUGCCUCCAGCAACCAGAUCAGGACAUCAAUAACCUCUAGUGCCAAGCAAAUCAUUAAAAUCCCAAAGGAAUAUAGAACUAGGUGAUGAUUAACCUGCAUUGCAUCUGUGCUUUCGUCUCAGCUGAGAGACGUGCCUGCUAGCUUCUUGUCACAAGCUGCAGCCUUGCCGUGGCCGUCCGUCCCCCGCGCGCUAGCUUGCGGGACUCUAGCCGGCCGGCCGCUGCGCGCUCGCCGCUCCCGCGAUCGGCCGGAUGGCCGUCUGGCCGCCACGCGCUUGCCGCCGGCUGCCGAGUUCACGCGCUCGUCGCUCCCGUGGCUGGCCGGCUCCUGGCAGCCGUCCGCUCCUCCAGAUUUCCGCCCGGCGACGGUAGGGUUUCACCUUGCUCGCGCGAAUUGGGGAUCUGAGGCGGAGGAGAGACGGGGAAGUUGAGAAGAAGAGAUAUUUUAUUUACACGUGGGACCCACCUUAUCUUCACAUAGGCUACAAACAUUGUGAGAUUUGCUAUAACUGAUGCCUCCUGCUGUGGGACCCACUCUUAUGGGCUGCUUCAUACAUAUACAUUGCUCAUGCCCUUAUAUAUUUGCUUCCUACAUUUCUCUCCUCCGAACUUCUGCACAUGAGAAGAAACAAUGGGUAGGUUCAUUCACUAUUCUAAGUGGCAGGAAGUAAAGACUGUCAACAAUUAUGCUUUGUUUAUAGGAUACAUGUCGAUGGCCGUCAGGGUGAUGGGCUAUCUUGUGGUUUUAUGGACAACCGUUAUCCUCCUUGGCGGUUUUGUAUCAGCGCUAGAGAAGAAGGAUUUUUGGUGUUUCACAAUAAUUACCCUCGUCCAGACAAUCGGGUUAGUUUGGUUUUCAAUUAGUCUUGCAUAUUCAAUUUUUCACUACUAGGGUUGCCCCGUGUAUUAGAAUAGCUAGAUUUGCUAUUGAUUAUACUUUUUAUAUAUAACUGAUAUAGGAAUUCAGCCCCCAUGUCUACAUAUGGAUAUACACAAUCAAAGAGUUGCUGCCUAUACCAAAUUUGCUAUGGAAUUACAAUUGUGAAUAUCACCGCUAGCCAUGCUCAGUAUCAAUAAUGAAGUUAUAACUUAUGAAAAGAAUUAGACAAUAUAGAUUAUUAAUGUGUUUAUCAAUACAAAAAUAAAGAAAUUCCAAUUGAUUUACACUGGGAGGAAAAGGCGCCAUGCAUAUACUACCUCUAUGCACAAACAUAUGACAUUGGUUAGUUUAAUUUUGAGCUAAGCAACGUCAAACAAAAAAAAUAUGGAGGGAGCAUUAAUUUCCUUUCACUCUUUCAGGGUCUCCACUGUAUUUCCGAGAGAAAAUCUGAAGAAAAUUGUGUUGUCGUACAUCCUGGGCUUUGUAUCGACUACAUAUACCUUUUACGUACCCAAAAACAGCAAGGAUGACAAGAAUAUUAGAGCUGAAAAUAUGAAGGAUGAAGAUGGUGAUGGUGGGCGCAGGACCAGCAAGGAAAAACCCAAGCAUUGGCCACGGUGGCUGCGUAGAUUGGCGGCAUUUGUCGCUUAUCUGGUACAGCAGCUGGUGUUCGCCGUCGUAGCGGGGCCUCUCGCGCUUGCCGUAGCGGUGCUGUACGCUUGCGGGCUGGUCAUCACCACCGGCCUCGCCGCUUGGCGCCUGCUGCAUCGCGACUACGGCGACGGCAGCAACAACCUGCGGCCGGCGCUGGACGUGCUCUACACCAUGGUACUCCUCCAGGGCGUGCUCUCCUACUACCGCUUCUCCUCGGACUUCUGGCAAUCAAGGCUGACAAACAACGUGGCCAAGGCGUACAACUUCCACCACUGGCGUCAUUUUUAUGCAUUCGUAUCGUUGCGUAGGUACAUCCAUGAAACGAGGAUCGGGUGCGAGAAGGACCCGUCCUUCGCCAAACGAAGGAAUUUGGUUAAGUAUGCCGUGGACACCAUGAUUGAGUCUGAAUUUCCAAACUGCUGGAGCUUCGUCUGCGGGGCAAGCAUCCUCGGUGCGCUUCUUGAGAACCCCAAGCUGGAAGAGCAACACAGCCUCAUCAAGGAGCACCUGGCCUGGUCGCCCUCCGGCGCCGGCGACUUGCUCCAGAAGCUGGUUCAGUCGUUGGAUCCCGCGAGGGGAUACCAUUACAUAACAAGCAUCUCCGCGGCGCGGAUCCUUGCACACCUCGCCGGUGAUCUCCGCCGCGAGCAGCUCAAUUUCCCGCAAGGCAUCCACUCGAUUGCCUCGCUGGUGGAGCCCCCCGGCGAUGAGAAGGGUGACGAGUACAACGCCUUGGAACACUUCCAAGAGCUGAUGGUGGAGGGCCUUCGUCUCCUUGCGAAACUCGUCUCCGACGAGGAAUGGUGCCGUGUCAUUGCUGAGAAGGAAGGCCUGCUCGCCAAGAUCAUGGUGCCACUACGUUCUGACAUGCACCACACUAAGUACCACUCCGUUUGUAGUGAUUCGGAGAGGCCGAUCUGCAGAGAAAUGAUCGGCGCGUCCAUCCAAGUGAUGCGCCAAUCUGGUGACUACUCCUGGCGCCACCGGCGAGAUGGUACGCUGUGAAAUCUCAGGCAACACGGACGCAAUGACCAGCCUGGAGAGUAUUGUCCACUGCGACCGAUGCGAUGAUUGCCUGCUCAUGGAAGGAGCACUGGAGAUCUACAGCCGACUGCGGCGUGGGGACGACGCACCUUCGACCAUAGCAACAAUGAGAGAGCAUUUCAUCAAGAGACUGGUGCUCAUCUUCACUCAACAUACCACUGCUGAAGAUGACAGAGUCGAUUUGCUGGCUGGUGAAAUGCUUGCGAAGCUAUGUUCCCAUGGCAAAGAAAACACCACCAAAAUCCUGCGAGCAAAACAAGAUGUGAUCGGUGAUCUCACCGGCAUGCUUGAAGACAAAAUCACCAAGUGCGGUAUAAUCGCAGCGCAAAUUCUGGAGCAUUUGUGUAUUCAUCACUCUGACGAUGAUGAAUGUGCCCAGAACCUCAAAGAACGUAUAAAGUUUGGGAUGCUAAAGGUACCAACCAAAAAAAAAAGAAGAAGCAUGCAUAUGCUUUGUUUUUGUCAACAUGUUAUACUGAUGAUAGACUUACUUUUGCAGGUGCUUGCAAAACCGCGUGACGAAUAUGUGAAUAGAGAAACUCUCACAGCAGUUUUAUCUCUAAGUGUGACGAUAUCACGCAACUUAAUGAAUGCCCGAGAUUUACCUCCUCUGUUCGAUGCUAUUACCAGUGAAGCCGGCGGCUUCAGCAUUCUAGGUAAGGUCCAGCUCCAGAAGAUGAUCGAGAGAUCAAGUUGUUUAAAUACGGCCAACGAACUGAAAACAGUGAAGCUUGUCGCGGAUUUAUUAAUACUAACUGUUAAACAUGGAAGCCGCGACGCCAUACGGGACGCAAAGGAAUUGAUUGAAUCACUGUCCGAGGUUGCGAAAGAAAUAUCGGAUACUGAGAACUUCAUGGUUAUCGCUGGCGGUAGCGACCCAAAGACCCUUGAUUCUUUCGUGAAAGAAGCAGAGGACCAACUCCUGCGCAGAGUCGGCAGAGAGGAUACACCUGAAAUGGCAGUGGUAAUUCAACAUCCUAGCUCUGUCAACGGAGCCCAGGCAGAGUAAAUCAUAUGCAUCAUUUAUUCGAAAAUAAAAUCAUGUUCAGCCUGUACUUUGUUAAUCUGUACUCUAACAAUCGUUGCAAAAGGAAUUUUAGUAUCCUUGAAGAGGUACCAUUGGAUGCCAUCUAUUUUGAGGUAGUUGUCACAUCCAAUGUUCAUUUGCUAGGCAUGAUAGGCAUUAGGCUGUAGACAGUGCCUAUCGCUAGACAUACGGCUAGUCAUCGUCUUCUAUUUUAUGAUAUCUCCACUUCUCUUCCGGCGAGCAGGGGCACCGGUGUCAUUGUUUAGGACAAAAAAAUACGAAAAUAUCUCCCUCUAUGUUUAGAGAGAAAAUAAGUGCGGGCGUGCCAGUGUACCUAAGUACACAAAAUAAAACAAAAGAGAUAUAGAAACACAUGAUCUUUAUUAAUUGAAUUAACAACAUACAUUUUCCAUGUAUAAUAUAAAAUGCGCGCGCCAUUGCCUGUCGUUGGACAAAUCUUGACAUCAGCGAUGUGGUCUUCUGAUUCCCAGGGCCUCGAGAAGCUCCUGGUUAAUUACCUCUGCAGGUUUAGGCCUGCAGAGAACCUCCGAUUAAGCUGCUAGUGGUCGUCUCAUUGUCUUUGCUUCGCAUUCAACAUGCAUGGUUGUGAUGGUGAUGUAAAUGUGGGUGCCGGCAGCGAUCCACGGCCUCGUCGGUCCGUGCGCCGGUGUUGGUGACGUAGCCUUAGCGUCGGCUUCGCCCGCCCUCGUCGCUCCGCCUCAUCAGUCUUGAGCGACGUGGUGGUGUAGAUAGAUUGAUCUUCAGCAUGCAUGGAACUCGCGUAGCUUGGACGGUAGAGAAGUCACAGCAGCGACAUCGGGAUAGUAUUAAAGGGAAGAAGAGUUGAUGACAUCAGUUGGUGUACGCGACAGCCGAAUAUACAUGGCUGGGCACCUCCUGGCUAGGUGAGAUCAAAGUGACGAAGAGUUGACAAAGACGGUUGGUGUAGAUGGCAGCCGGAAUAAACAUGGCUGGGCACCUCCUGACCCAUCAUGCCCCUUAUACGGCAGGGACUUGUAAUGAAAAUGUUGAUGAAGAAGUCGGUGCAGACAACAGCCGGAUAAACAUGGCUUAGCACCUCCUUUAGAUGAUGGGUCUACUAUUGAUCCAGUUGAUAUGAUAACGAGCCCGUAAAAGGGGCUCUAUGAGGGCGCCGGUAACGACGGCGACCUUGGAAGAAGUAAAUGCCUCGUCAGCGGAACCGUUGAGGGCAUUUGUUGGUGUAGAUUAAGCAUGAAUGGUUCCCUGGCAUCACAGAUGACACCAUUCUUACUUUAUGCUGAUGUAGACUAGCGACGCUCCAAUACACGGACAAGCGGCGACAUCUCGAUCCCAACGAAGAGGGAGGGAAUCACGGACGGACAACAUCGAUCGUGAUUAAGAGGAGAGAGCACAACAGACGGAUGGCAUCUCAUCUUGGCGUGAUGAAGUGAAAGCAUUGUAGACAGAUAGCGUCUCAUCAUGUGGUGUAGAGAGAGAGAUGUCACGGAUGGACGGCACGACAACUCCGGCUUGGCGAAGUGCAGGCGUCAUGGAAGAACUUGAUGACGAUUCCGCCUAGACGAGGUGAAGUCUUCCCGAACGGACUUGAUGAUGGUGUGCGGGCACCAAGCAAUGGCGCUCCGGCUUUCUCCUCGAACGGCAUGGCGAUGAGUGUGAGGAAAGUGGCAGGACCGUCGAAGAUGAUUGAGUAGACAUUGACGGUGACUAAAGAGACCGCGACGAGUGUGAAGGCGUCGCCGGCCAGUGGAGUCUCAGUGAGACGUCCUCACACAAUAGUGAUCACAACAGGGGCAUCUUUAGGGCUCGGCGUCGGUGCGAUGAUGCCGGCACAACGGCGGGCUUUGAUGGGGUGGCACUCGGUGGACAGUGCUACCAGCAGCUUGAUAGAACAGCGAGCGUCUGGGCGUCGCCGAUACGGUGGACGAGAUGAUCUCCUGGUUGACGAUGGCUCUGAUCCAUCAGGAUGGCAUGGGCGGCUCAGCGACUUGACGACGUCCGCGGAUGCGGGUAGUUCAGCGACAUUCCGGCAGUUCGAAUGAGACUUCUGUCGGGCACGGCUCAGUAGUAACCAUGCUUGCUCCGAUGACAUUCUGCGCGCUCCGGCGGGGUGGCAUGAUGUCGACCUCUUACAAAUUAGCAUGCCCGACGAGGUGGUUGAUGUAGACGGCAGCCGGCCAUUUAACCACAGCUCAGCAUCGAAUUGAAAAAGCUUGAAAUCAACAGGAUUUGUUUAGCCAUCGCAUUGACAACUUCUUAUGCAUGGCACUGAAGCAUGGUGAUGAUGUGUCACCCUCCGGUUGGUCGGCCACGUUGCCACACCAUGUAUUUGCUGAAUGGAGUUGACUCGGCAUGCUGCUGCUUUGCUUCGGCUUGUGUUGCUGCCAUGCGAUGUGUGUACAUGAGGCCGCCGAUCGCCGAUCUGAUCUGUAGCCCGACGAUAUUUGUUGAUGUAGAUCGAUAACCACCAUCAUCUGCACGCGGCGCCGCUGCCAUCGUGAGGAAGAUAGUAUCGCCGUCGUGAGAACAGUAGCAGCGCCGAACAUCGGCCGCGUCGGGGGAAAGGGCUGCGGCCAUGAUUUGAUACGCUGUGCGUGGUGGAAGCAGGAGUCUUGGCAGUCGACGGUGGCUCCGGGCCUCCGGCGAUCCUGGCGUGCCCCAGCAGAGCAGCGUCACGACGACUCCGACAUGGUCAGUCCGCCGCGGUGAAACUUGCAGCCGACAAAGCGAGGACGCCCGACAUCUCGGCAUCUCGGCGACGCCGCAGUUUCAGGUGGAUGCAUCACCGGCGACUCGAUUGGCGGUGUCGACUCCAGGGAUAACCAGCAUCUCGUCGACUCGGAUGAGCGGUGGGCGGUGGCGCCGAUACGAUUACUUCCCGGGGAGCACGUACAGAGGAUGCAACUACUACGGCAGCAACAGCACCCGCAUAUGUACAUCUCCUACGCAUGCAUGCAUGUUCUGCAACAAGAAAAGAAGGAACCAAUCUAAUUAGUUCUUUUGCCUUGAGCAGCCAUUGAUCUCUGCUUGCCGAUGAUCAGAGCGCCGCGUCUCCUGCCGGACGCCGGUGCUCCGGCCGAAGUCGCUCGCCGCCACCGUGGAUGGGUUGAUCGUCAAUGGAUAGAUGUGUGUUGAGUGUUUUCGGGAUGGAUGUGUUAUGUGUGUUGAGUGUUCUCGGGAUGGAAGUGUGUUGAUCUAUCGAUCUUGUUGAUGCCAGGAGUUGAUGGAUGGAUCCUCUCUUUUGCCGUGGUUCUACAUCUGUGCCCCCUCGACUCCAUGAUCAAUCUGUAAAAAAGAAAGAAAGAGAAGGCCUGGCGUGCUGGUGUAGAUGACCGUGCACUGCCUCUCUCCUCUGUCAUUCUGUCCAGCCGCCGGCCGGCGUGCUGUACCUUCUCAUCAGGAAGAGGGAUGGCUGGACGAAUGUCGAUCGCCUGGCGCCGUCUCUUGGGUGACCGCCUGUACCCUCGCCGAGCGUCGGAUGCGCCGGCCGGCAGCCACCGGCUUCUCUCGUGCCGUCGUGUUCUUCCUCCCUCCGUGUUCUGCCUUCGGCGCAGCCGCCGCCAAUGGAUGGAUUGAUGGGAGUUGAAUGACUGUCCAUGCAUAUAUGUGCUGAAAGCCUGAAAUAUACAUGUAGAGAGAGAAAGAGAUAAACAGAAGAACUGGACAAUGUUAGAUGAAAUCGUCCUGGACGGCGUGGCGUCGAUCUUGUCGCAGCCUUCGUCUCCGGGUAGAUUGAUCUUCCAGCAUCGAGCGGCGCCCCCGGCGGGCCACACUUUUGGUGUGCCAUGCUGCGCCGCCUUCGGCCGGCCGGCCGCGCACACGUUGGCGUGCCCUUCCGCCGAGGCCCUGUGUUUUCUCUUGCGUGUGUUCUUCAUAUAUGUGUAGAUGGAUCUCCUUCUUCUCUGUUGUAGUUCUCCAUCUCUGCCCCCCCCCCUUAUGGCUGACGAGCUGUGCCUUUUAUAGGCGGUAGCCGCGUACGCGAGACCCGGCGCCGCCAGCGUGUAUACGACUGCGUGAUCCGAUAUCUCCGCACAGUCGCGCGCGAUGGAUAUAUACUAUCCGGCAGUUUGUUUGGAUGGAUAGAGCUUGACCGUGCUUAUCUUCUGAUCUGUUUGUUGCUUCGAUCAACUUGUAGAUGAGGGCGGCUAUGCGCAUGCAUGUAUUAGCUAGACUGGGCUGCCAUUCUUGUUGGUUUGCCGGUCUGCUGGGCCAUCGACGGAGCUCUCGACCACACGCGUGCAUGUGUGAGACUUUAAUUAAUUUGUUGGCUUGCUCUCUAUAGCUCAGUGCGUGCACACACAUAUAUGCUUAUAUGUAUAGCCGAGCACACAUGCAUACGUAUUCAGGCUAUGUGAAUCAGUACGUCAUAGUACAUGCAUGCAUUUGCAUGGCCCAUGCACGAAUCAAUAUUUAAUGAACUGGCUUAGCACAUUGGCAUUGCUAGCUAAACUGGUUCCUGAAAAUGCCCAUCAAUAUGCAAUAUAUAUGUGGUUAUAUAUUUUGAAAGUAUGUACAAAAUCCGGUCAAACAGUCAUCAACCUGUUGACCAGUGCGAGCUCGAACUUAACAAUAACAAUACAUCAUACAUGCUAGUACUUGAUUGUUUUCGGUCCAAAUUUUCGAAUCGAAAUUUCCAGAAUUUCCGAAAUUUUGGGUCUUUCUAUGGGACGGACAGCGCAUGGCGGUGUGGUAGCCGGACUGCUGGAGCCGAGGUGGAGCGAUUGGCUACGGCAUUCUCCGCCAGGGAUAAAGCUAUGCUGCCAGAGGAGCAAGAGCGACGUGAUCCUGAUCGGCGUACCGUAGUUCCAGAUCCGUAAAAAGGGGAGUGGUCGGAUCUAGCUGGAGCCCGGGCGAUCACCAUCACCUCCCUCGAUCGCCCUUCCUCACCGGCGCUGGAGAGAGGGGGCGGGCAGCGGCCGGCCUCAAACCGCCAAAGAAGAAGCGACAAUGUGAACGUGGCCUCAGAACGACGCCUUGGGUCUCCCUGUUGGAGUGUAUAAAAGUGAAUUGCCCGUCUUUCCUUAUCAGCUUAGGUUUUAGGUGCAACUGGUUAGUGCAUGCAACUUAAUAUGGUAUCAGAACCAGAGGUUUUGAGUUCGAAUCCUGGCGGCCGUCGCGCCGCAUGAAACUACCACAUCGCCGUCGCCCCACCUCCUCCAAGUAGAGCUCCGCCCGUGGCCUGCGAGAACGGUGCCCCAUACCGUGCUCGACCUACAGGCUACAGAUCAAAUCCUCCGCGAAUCUUCGCCGGUGCAGCGCUCCACCCAUCACCUACCGCCUAGGCUCGUCGCCGGCACCUUAUUGCCGUCACCACUCACCAGGUCAUGUGACGUGGAACCGUGCCAUGGGACAUUGGGACCCGGUUGUUGGAUUUCUUACUAGCAGAACAGAAGUUUUUCGUGGAAUCCUUUUUCUUUUCUUUUCUUUUCUUUUUUGUAAAUCACUCAAAUCUUUCGUGGGAGUACUGGUUUUUCCACCUCUAUUCCGCACAUUGUGUCAUCGUUGUGCAUGCCUUUCUAGCUUUUGGGGUAAAAGGUGACUAACCUAUUUCUGUUUUUUUUUUUGUUGAUGAAAAGGCAAUUUGAUUUCUUUAAUUCCCUUUCAUUUAUACAACAGUACUGGAAAAUACUAACAGAGUUUACACGACUGGUUUGUUAUCAUCCAACACAAAUCUUCUCAAAAUGCAGAUAAUGAUAUAUCAGCAAGGCAAGAAGCUAAUUAACCCUCUGCUCAUACGCCUACGCCAUUGGGUUUACCUCUACAGAGCCACGGAGGUAGAUUAUGCCUUCCUUCUGUCCAUCCACAAUCUCCUGCGCUUCAAUAAAAAGGGAGACGAGAGUCUUCAACGGAGGUUUUGCGCCAUUGUUGCUAUCGGCUAAGCUCAGGACGCCAUCUACGCCGUACAUCUGAAUGGAAACUUCGGACAGAUAGCCCAUCAACUCCUUCAGGUUUUCCUCUUCUUUGGCGUAGCUGCUGCUCCUUAGUCUUAACAUCGAUAUGAACAUCAUAAAAAUUAGCUUCACAAUUCUCAGCCAGUGAGCCGUGAGUUCAUAGUUUGGCAAGAUGUAGAUGCAUACCAUCUCCUUUAGCUUCCCAAUGGGAGUAAAGGUAGCAUCUCCAGGGAAAACCACAUCAACCAGUUGGACCAAAUCUUGAUCUUGGCUUACAUCAAAUACUGUUGUAAUUAAAUAUAGGAAAGCCUCCAGCAAUUUGCUGUCUACACGGAGCCAAUUGUCUCCAUCUUGGACUUCAAUACUUACGCUACCGGGUGGUGAAAACAUAGCUUUAUCUGCUUUUGUUCCCGCCGUUUGGAUGUCUCCACACCCAAACAUUUCUCCAAGCACCUGAAAUAAUAAAUUUGUACAGAAGUUUAAUUUGACAGACUAUAUAGGUGCGUGGCUAGGAAUUGAGAUAAGAGUUCAGAUCACACUAUAUAUGUGCUCCCUUCGUUCCAAAAUAUAAGAACCUAGUAUCAGAUAUGAUAUUUUAUAGUACUACGAAUCUGCACAAACAACUUAUCUAGAUUAGUAGUAAUAGGAAAUAUCUAAUCCAGUCCUAGGUUCUUAUAUUUUGGGACGGAGAGAGUAUUACCAAUGGUUCACUAUUUGAUACAAGGAUUAAUUACCUUUGGCAUCACAUCCUUGAUGACUUUGUUCAAUUCACCGAGGUACUCGUCGUCAUAGGUGUAGUGGUUAUAUAGGUGAGCUAGGAUUUCCGCUGCACUUAUUCUGCUCUCGUUUUCUUUAGAGUGUAGAAGCAUGUCUUUGAGCACACCAACGACAUUGCCGUCUGCCUGGAGGAUGACCACGGCAAUGCUUUGGCUUUCGACGCAGAGCAUCGCCAAUGCUUGAGCAGCCGAUUUUCUGACAGACAUAUCCUUGUUAUCAUCGGUGAAGAUGCACAGCAUAUACUUGGCUAAUUCUUCUCUGCUUGCCACGCUCGUACUCAUAGAUAAAGAUUUAUCAAAGGCUAGCUGGCUGAGGAUCUUGAUGGCCAUGAUUUGCAGCAGUGGCUUGCAUUUGCUACACUUGGGAAUGCUGUCCAUGGUGGUGACAGCCUCCUUGUUGCCAGAGAUCUCACGGCGGAGCCUGACGCCGGUCACUCCGGGAGCAACGACGAGAAGUGCCACCAGUUGCAUCGACUCCUCUACAACCGAGUGCCACACCUCGUGGUCGAUGCGGUGGAGCAGGUCGGAGCUCAUGGGCGCCAUGAUCCUUGAGAGGAGACCUUCAGUGUCGCAGAUGACUCUACAAUUGUCACUGUGAGCAGCGAGGAUCCGGAGGAUUUUCAGGCCCCAGUGAAGCAUCUCCAUACACUGGUCAAGCUUCAGGGUGUCCUUGAACUGCUCCAGCUGUGGACCUGUGGUCGAUAGCUCGAGCAUGUCUGAUAUGCAUUCGAUGCCUCCUGGCAGCUUCUUGAGGUGGAUGUCGACAGCGAAGUAUUCGACUAUCCUCGCUGCACUCUUUGUCAUAUUGUUCUGAGUUGGGCUGCACCUGGUCGCAGCCUCUAGGAGCUUGACGAGUAUGUGGGAAGAAGACGCGGAUCCGGUGAGCAGCUGCCUCAUCAGCGCAUGGUGUCCCUGCAACUGGCUUUGCACGAGAGAGUCGAUAAUCCUCACGCCAUUGAUGAAAUUGUCAGUGUCGAUCGACGAAGAUUCUAUCAGUCCAAUGGCAUGUGUGACCAUGUUCCUUCCUCUGACGAACGACGGGUCCUUCAUGCAUCCAGCCAUGGUUUCGACCGCGUACUCACGAACAGGUGAUUUUGCCCCAUAAUUGAGAUUGUACUUGUCGGCCACUUUCCUCUCCAUCUUCCUUCCCGUUGUGAUGAAGGUCAUGCCGUAGAAGUAAAGCACGCCCUGGGCAAGAGCCAUCAGGUAGAGGACGCGCAACGCCGGCUUCUGCAGGUUGGCGCCGCCAUCGGCGGCGGCGUUGGCCAUGCCGAAGCCCAAGUCACGCCGUGUGAGGCGGAACAGCGAGAUCGCGGUGGAGAUGUACAUGCCCAACGUGUAGACAAACACCAGAGGGACAACAAUGGUGGUGAACACAAGGAGCCGAAACAACUGCAACGUAGCAUACGCUACGAUGGGCCCAUGGUCAAGUAUAUAGUGUUUCAACCACUCGGCCACAAUCUUGGCCGGAGUCUUGGCCGGAGUCUCGGCCGGAGUCUCUGCCGGAUCAGUCUCUAUCUUGCGAAGUGAAGAAUAUGCAAGAGUAUCUGCCGUAAUCUCGGCCUUUUGCUCGGUCGAAGUUGGAGGCGACUUGGGUGUGCUAAAUGCUGUAGCGAGUAAGCGGGUGACUCCAGAAAACCCCUCUAUAACUCCACCAGUAAUGGCACCGGAUGCCCUGUUGUUAAUUUAUAUUUGAUCUCAGCUCAUAAGUUUUCUCGAGAGAGGGUCAACGGAUAAACAUAAACUACAUUAGGCGAUUUUCAUAUGCAAUUUUGCACGAAAUUCAUUUUGCAUGUAGAAUAGGAUUCGAGUUGCAUCUCGACCCAGUGAUUAGCCUGUCCUCACCAGAUCUGAUGGCUGCGAAGAUUUCACUGUCACGCCAUUUCUCCAUGACAGGGAGGUGGCAUCAACUCCAUCUGUCCUAAAAUAAAUCCAAUAUUGGAUUUAUAUGUGUGACCACCUUCAUUUUUAGGAUUAGAUUUAUUUUAGAACAAAGGGAGUAGAGACGACAAGAGGGUAGAUCUGGUCACCAAGUCACAUCUUGCCGACAAAGACAGGUUGACGGUUGAAUUUUGAUUUGGCUGGACUUUUCACUUUUUGGUUCUUUUUGAAAACUUAUUUAAUUUGUAAAUAAAUCCCUAAAAAAGCUUAUUCUGGGAAUGGAUGCUUUUCGCCGAGUCAACAUCGUCAUUGUAUUGGUCCAAGAUAACAGAGCCAAUAGCAUUGAUAACGUCCCCCUAACCUCCUCGUGAAAGGUAGGUGGUCACUUAUAUGAAGGGGGCUAAUUAAGUAAGGGGGGCGACGCCAUUGUUUUUGGCGCCGAUGACAUAUUUGUACAUAUUUUUUUAUUAUAAAUAGGUCCCUUUUUAAUUAUAAAUAGGUCAUUUUUCAAAUUGUUUUACAAGUAGGUCCUCGACGUCAAUAACAUUGACAUUGUCCCUUUUCUACAAGUGACUUAGCUUUCGCGGCAAGCCUAUAGAGAUGACGUCAAUGUCAUUGGCACCGUCAUGUUGUUAGACUAAGGUGCUGAAACGUUGACGUUGCAAAAGGAUUCAUUUCCGAAAUAAGUUUUUAGGGUCUAUUUGUAAAAUAAAUUUUUAAAAUCUAUUAUAUUAUUAAAGGAAUAGAAAAAGGAGCCUCCACGUUCGCUCUCAUGGCCUAGAAAUUCUCACAUUAAUCGGAGAAAAAGAAAAAGCAGAGUCCAUAUAGAAAUACAAUUUAGAAAUAGCUGAAAUUCGGAAUUAAAAAAUAAGAAAUAUUAGAAGAGGAGACUAUAGUCCAUAUAGAAAUACCUAUAGGAAAUAACUGAAAUUCGGAAUUAAAAAUAAGGAAUAUUAGAAGUAGAGUAUAGAGUCCAUAUAGAAAUACAAUUAGGAAAUAAUAGAAAUUCGGAAUUAAAAAAUAAGGAAUAUUAGAAGUAGAGUAUAUAGUCCAUAUAGAAAUACAAUUAAGAAAAAAAUAGAAAUUCAGAAUUAAAAAUAAGGAAUAUUAGAAGUAGAGUAUAGAGCCUAUAUAGAAAUACAAUUAAGAAAAAUUAGAAAUUCGGAAAUAAAAAAUAAGGAAUAUUAGAAGUAGAGUAUAGAGUCCAUAUAGGAAUUUAAAACUAAAAUUCAGAAUAAACAUAAUGAAAUUAAAAGUAGUGUUUAGAGUCCGUACAAAAAUACAAUUUACAAAUAACUAAAAUUCAAAAUUAAGAAAAAUAUGGGAAGAAGAGUUUAAAGUCAAUAUAGGAAUAAAAUUUAGUAGUAACUGAAAUUUGAAAUUAAAAAUUAAAGAAUAUUGAAAGAUGAGUUUAGAGUCCACAUAGAAAUACAAUUAGAAAUAUUAAAAAUUCAGAAUUAAAAAAAUAUAUUAAAAGACGAGUCUAGAGUCCAUAUAGGAAUAUAUAUAAUUUACAAAUAACUAUAAUUUGAUAUUAAAAAUAAUUAAUAACUAACACGUAUAUAAAAUACAAUAUGAAUAUUACACAUUAGUAGUUUCGUAAAGUUAUUGCAAAAUUUAAAAUUAUGUUGUCAUUUUGAUAUAUUUGAAUAAUACAAUUCCCACGUUCACUAUCACCAUCUAAAAAUUCCCACGUUAACUGAUAAAAAGAAAAAAAAGUCCACGUAGAUAUACAAUUUAUAUCUAAAAUUCAGAAUAGAAAAUAAAAAAGAGUUCAUGUAAAAAUACAUUUUAGAAAGAACUACAAUUUGUAUAAAAAUUUAAAAAUAAUUAAUAUUGAGAGAAGAGUUCAUGUAGAAAUACAAUUCUGAAAUAUCUAAACUUCGGAUUAAAAUUAAAUGGUAUUAAGAGAAAGAGUCCACAUAAAAAUAUAAUUUAGGAACAUGUAAAAUUCGCAUUAAAAAAUAAAUAUCUGAUAAGCAAAGAUUCAUGAAGGAGUUCAGUUUGGAAAUAUUUUAAAUUAGGAUGAAAAAUAAAUAAUAUUAUGAGAAAAAAAGUGUAGUUUCUAAGAAAUGCCAUUACAAAUAUCUUCAACACAGGGUAAAGUGAAAUAUUAUUAAGUAAAUAUUUGGUGUAAAAAUACAAUUUAAAAUAUAUGAAAUUCAGAUUAAGAUGUGAAAGUAUGUACGCUAUUAUGUGAGAAAAAUAUUAUAAUGAUGAUAUCCUUGUAAUCUGUUGGGGACAAAGGAAGUAAGUAAACAUAUUGUAGAGGCCGGCGGCCACCAAGCUAAUAAGCAAGUAAACAACAAAAAUAUUCAUAAGAGGUACAGGGGGACUAACUCUUUUGUCUGGCAGAGGGUAAUCAUCGUGAGACACCAAAAGUCCUUCUUGUCGAGCAGGGAGACGAAGCCACCAAGCAGGACAACGGUAGACCAGGUGAAAAUCAGGACGCCGAGCCCAGCCACGACCCUCGACAAGUAUUCUUUGAACACAGCAUGGCUGUUGAUAUACCGCACUUCAGGCCAUUCUUCGGAAUUUUGAUUUACUUCACCGGCCAUUCUUGCCCUGAACAUAAAGCUCCAAAACCUAACACAUAAUAGCAACCUCUAGCUAGCUAGCCAGGCCCUUAAGUAACAUCCUAACGCUGCUUCAGGGUAUAACUGACGACAUAUGAUUGUUUACACCAAGAACUAACCAUAUUAGAUCUUGACCAAAUUACACCAAUUAAUCUAUCCUAGGUCGCUAUUAAAUAGACUUAGCCAGGCCUUUUAGUCAUGUGUAUUAAGGUGGUCGAUUUAGAUCGCCACUUGAAAUCGUCGUCGUUUGUACUAAUGGAGCAUGCAUCUUUCAGACUACUUGAAUUUUUCUUGACGAUCGAGUUGACAAGGCUUUGUUAACAUCUCUGUACGUGAAUCAUGUGUUGGACUCUCUGGCAUGCAUGGUAUAGUAUGCCCAUAUGCUCUGACAAAAUGCAUGUGCUGCUUCUGUAAGCUACUUCCUCUAUCCCAAAAUGUAAGCAUUUUUGAGGUUAGCACGGGUAUUAAGAAAGUAGGUGAGAAUAAUUGAAGAAGGUGUGUGAUUGGUUGAAAAGAGAAAGUAGGUGAAAAAGAAUGGUUGUGAUUGGUUGAGAGGAGAAGGUAGGUAAAAAAAUAGCUUUAUUUUGGGAUAAAGUAUUGUGCUAGAAAUAGCUAUAUUUUAGGACGGAGGUAGUAAGCUAUAGGUUAAUUGAUUUGGAAUAAACUUGUUUAUGUUCAUGUGGAGGCGAGAGGCCUGAGCCCUGCCAAUUUAAAAAUGUACGAUGAUGUUGCUCAAAGGGCACGUGUGGGACGAUAAACGGCGAACAUCGCUGCCUCUGGCACUGUCGAUCAGUUGGAGAAGAGGAAGAACCAUUUGUUGUCGAAGAUGAAUCACAAGGAAACACAUACUAAUCUAGAAUGAAAACAUGCUAUAGAGCAGGUACAAUAGCAGGCUAUAAGCCAGCUGCAAACAUAUUUUAAGAAGAUAAAUUAGGAGAGAGAAGAGCAGUGGGCUACAGAUUUGUAGCCAGCUGUAGCACGGACUCCAAGACGCAGUGUGUCUAUGACAGGUGGGACUAGAUAUUAAUAGUGUAGUAUGUAACUAUUGUAUGAAUGAACUACUAGAUUGGCUAUGGAUGAAUUGGAGCUAGUAGUUGGCUAUACUAUUGAACUUGCUCUAAGGGGUGGUCUAAAAUUUGUAAAAGUAUAUAGCCCAACAUACAGUUUACUUUAAAAAAAUCUUCUCGAAACGGGAAAUAAUCUCGCAUGCAUGAUAAUUCCAUUCCAAUAAUUAUCUCCAAUGUCCUACAACAAAUAGCCAUAAAAUUGUUUUUAUGAUACUCGCUCCGUUUUAUAAUGUAAGACUUUCCAGCAUUGCCCAUAUUCAUAUAGACAUCUAUAUGAAUAUGGGCAAUGCUGAAAAGUCUUAUAUUAUGAAAUGGAGGAAGUAUCUUUCCGCAUGUACGAACUCUUAGUGUCCUCUAGAAAAAAAAUGCCUUGUACUAUUUCUUAAUAGAGCUCUACCAGGAUGUUCUAGAACGCCUUAAAAAGAAAGCUAGCUAAAAAUUGCACAGCGUUGCUCAAGUCGCACCCAUGUUAUAAUAUAGACAAUAUUGUUGCUGAUCAACGUUUCUUCAAUACGCCAGAGGAGCAUCACGUGUGAGUAAUGUACAAAUGUAAACGUGAGUUCAAUGUAAGUGAGAAUGUGAGAAUAACAUACAAAACCACGCCAACGAAAUCUGAAAGUAAACCGUACCAUGUUGUUGAUACAUGAGUGCAGGGGCGGAUCCAACGUGGGUGCAGGGGGACUCAAGUGCCCCCUACACCCACAAAACCCAUGGAUACCCCCCUAAGCCCCCCCUUCAAUUUUUUCAUCAUAGUUGAUAAGAUAGGAGAUGCUAAAGGUCUCAUAAUAGCAUUUUAGUAUAGUUUAAUACUGAGAUUAUGUGUUUAUAUCGGUGUAUUCGGUAUGUUGAGUCCCCCCAACUUUUUAUUUCUGGAUCCGCCCCUGCAUGAGUGAUGAUAAACUAAGAGCGCAUGUGAGCACUGACCAACCUAACUGUAACGGCUCAAGGUAACAUGUGACAUUUCUUCCAAACAAUUAUCGCAUCCAAACUUCCAACACAUAUACAAGAGGGAACGAAUAUGUUGCCAUGCUCCUGGUGGUCAUCCACCCCUUACAGACCGAUCCAUUGCCAGCUCCACCAUCAUCAACAUCAAUAAUUGUUGUCUCACCGUGUUUCAUCCAACAUGUAUAGUUCUUCAAAAAACCUCUUCUUAUCAGAUGAGCAUGUGUUUCACACUAACUGAUUUAUAUAUCCCUGUAACAGCUAUAGGUUUCAAGCCGUUACAUACUGGGCCUUAAAUGAUGGCUCAAGAGUGUUUUGCCUAUCUGUAACGGCCGUCUAUGCCACCCAUUAUAGAUGCGGGAGUCUGUAACGAUUCUGUUUGGUCCGUCACAGAUAAGAGUAUUUGUGUGCUAGUGGCAAGUGCAAUUUGAGCAACCUCGUGUAUUUGUAUAGUAUAUUUGCAGCAAUGGCAACGGCAGCAGCGGCGGCGUGUUUUCCAGUGAACCUCCAAAACAGAGCACUUCUUCCAGUUUUCCACGAAUUAUCAAGAUUUGUCCUAAUAAUGGCAAAGUGAUGGUUCUAUACAAAUCAUUUUAUAGAAAAUUUGUCUCAGUGCACCUGAACUUGUUUCAAGGUUGACUAAUUUGUUUUAGGGGUGCAAGCGGGCUAACCCGCGAGUUUACUUAUAGGUCAAAUAAAUAAUAAUUCAUGGGUUUUCGUGUCGUGGCGCGGCUUGCAACAUCUAAAUAUACAAGUGGAUCGAUUCAUAAAUCCAUUUAUAAGUUAAAUUAAUAGUUAACCCGCAAGUCAAACCUACGGGUUACGCAUUACUUUUGCCUAUAAGAGGAUUCGCGGACAAACCCACUUGCACCGUUAAUUUGUUUUCCAGUAGCAAGCGAUGGCUUGCACUGCUAAUCCCAGAGCUAAAACAUGGACGAUCAUGCACUCCCUUCGAGCCAGCAGCACCUGCAACCUUCAGAGGGCUCAGAUGCCAUUCAUCAAAUAACGGUAAGAAACGCAUUGUUGCUCUUCCAAUUUUGUUUCACCAAUUCUUUCCUGCAAAAUGAAACAGAUGAAAGAAAUGGCUAUUGUUUGCUCCAUCACGAGAGAUAAAAAGGGAAGCAGAAGCAGAUCAUAGAGGCAGGUUUUCACCACCAGGAACAGUCGUCGUUGAAGUCCAAGACGAUGGCAAUCGCUGGAGCACCUCCAACUACAUCUCAUCAGCCAAAGAGUGGGCAGUAUAUGGACAUGGAUCUACUGGCAGCUUUGUUUUCCCUUACUGCAACGAUAUUUGAGGUCAGUCAAGUUCAAGAUUUGGUCCAACUGGUUGAUGCUAUUGCCCCUGUAGAUGCUGCCUUUACCUUUGCUGGGAAGCUCAUUGAGAUGGUAAAAAGGAAGAUCAUAGAAAGAAUCGAUUUUCUUGUGGAUGAAUGGUCGAGAAUUUUGAAGCCUACCACUAAGAUGGUCAUAUCAAUGGUGAGACAUAGGAGCAUCAGCUUCGUAAAAGAAGAUGAUGAAGACCUGGAGAGCUUGAUAGAUUAUCUUAUCUGCAUAGUUAUUCCACUGGCAUGAACAAAAUAGAGGGUGUCAUGAGCUACCAUGGAGCAAAGCAACCGUUCAAGACUCGUGCUUCCCUUGUUAAAGAAGCCCAGGAACUUUGGGACAAAAAGAAGGAAGAUGCUAGCUCUGUCGAACGAAACCAGAUCACCUAAUCUGUAUGUGAGUAUAUGACACGAUUUGAAAAAUUAUAACACACAUUCGAUCUGAGAAUUUUGCCAGAGCAGGGUGGAUGACCGAAACCAGUAGAUCACUCUGUUUUUGUGCCAUUUUGCCUGAUGUUAGAUGUAUCAUAUCUCUGGAGUUAAAUUUAUGUUUGAUGAAAAUAAAUCAGUUAGUGUGAAUUCUAUAUGUAUAUCAAACUUUUUUCUCUUCUAUUGUGAGCAUGGAAGCAGGAGGCGCAAUGCCAAAUAGUGAGCUAAUACUUAACAAGCAUUUUACUUUACCUAAUACCCUCAUGCAUUGUCACGCCCCGAACUAGUCCCGACCGGAACUAGCCCGUGACGCUCCAAAUUAACCUGUUAAUCGAUACCAGUCACAGGAAACAGUGCUGGUAUCACAGGAAGACAGAAUAUCACAGCAACAGAUGUCUCUUUAUCAUAGAGUAGGAGUACAGUCAUGUUGGGCUGCAGACAGAUCCCGAGCUCAUAACUGCAUUACAAAAGGGAAACGGAAGCCAAGACUUGGACCAAACAUCACAGGCGCGACUUGGGAACUAGGCCGAAACCCUAAAACUCAUCGUAGCCGGCUUGCUCCUGGAAGAACUCCUCGUCAGCGGGAUCCGCUUCAUCUUCUUCAGCAACUGGGGGGGGGAUUAUUUAUAUAGAGCAAGGGUGAGUACGGGAGUACUCAGCAAGCCAUGGGAAAUAAGUGUUUAAUGCAGGCUUCAAGGAAAGGCUAUUGUUUUUGCGAUUGAUUUUAUUUAAACUCUUUUCAGAAACAACUAAGGGAGUGCUUCUCAAACGACACGGAUGAGACAGUGCGUCUCGUCCGGUCGGAGUAUGUGCAAUGUAUCAGUCUUUUGAAUCGAUCAAGGUUGGCACCCGGCCAACAGCUUUCAAACGGCCGCCCGGGCCUGGCUGAUCCCAUCAGCCGCAGAUUUUCCAAACAUCAAACCCAUUCCACAACAGCAAAUUUCACAAGGCAGUAGUCAAACAAAACUAUGCUAGGAAUCACCUCACAUCCGCCCAUGACCGUGGGCACGGCUGUUCGAACAGUUUUAAUAACCUCUGCAGAGGGGGUACACUUUACCCACACGACAUUACUAACCCGGAUCAUCCAGCCCGUACAGAACGGCCACGACUAGAGACCUUAAGGCUUUCAUGACAAGGCAUUUCGAAAGACGACACAGGUUCACCAUAUGCCAACGAGAGGGGUCCCAAACCAACACCAGAUAGGUCCCAGACCUUACUGUGCCAGGAAGCCCAGGGGUCCUCCCCGACACCACCCCGGCGAAUCCAUAUGUCUCUUAGCAUCAUGGCUCCCCCGAUAAGCUAGUUACUCAGCCAGGGGUGUCCCAUUCCACCCAUGUGGUCGUACUUGUCUUAUGUUCGGAUGAAAUUCCAAGGAAACGGUCCUUAUGUGCAAGAGCGGGAAACCGUACACCCGGUACGUUCCCCGGUCCGCGGUUUUGGAAAUUCAUUUAGUUCGCAAGCACCGACCCAGGUGUCGGGUUUUCCAAGUCUUUUGUAAAACCCAAGUUUUACCAAAGAUGUUUCUCAGAUUUUAAGUUUGAAGGCGACUGUCGAUACCCGUGCAGAGUGCACGAUUACCGAGGCACAACUAGGUGGGUACAAGGGAACAUGGUAUAACAAUUACAAUGGAAGGGUCAAAUGCAACAAAUUAGGUAGGUCCGCCAAUCUGCCUUGCAGACGGGACAAGCAGAUUAAGUGCGAUCCUAUCAAUGCAUAAUAUUUUUCAAGCAACAUAAGUAAGUUCAAAUAUAGGCUCAAGAUGUUCAAAGGUGGCUUGCCUCGCUCGAGAUCUUGAGCUUGAUCCUCGAAAUCCUCGCACUGCGGGUCUUCGGGCUCCGAAACUACACGCGAAACGGGACAACUCAGCAAACGGCGAAAAUAAAGCCCUAUUAUUGACCUCUAAGCGUGCCAUUAGAUAGAUCUCGAGAUUUGAGGAAUUUUGGAAGUUGAACGGAGUCAAACGGACUUACGGUUGGGAAGAUAUUGAAUUUCUAAGAUUAUUGGAUUUUUGGUCUAAAGGAAAAGGAUUUAUUUAAAUCCUUUUUGAAAAAGAAAAGAAAAGAAAAGAAAGAGGGAGGGAAAUUAGACUUCCCUCGGACGGCUAGGGCGCGGCCCGAGAGAAUGGGGCAGCUCGGCCGAGCUUAAUGGGCCAACCGGCCCAAGAGGGCGGCCCAAAGCGCGCGCGGGCGGGGAAGGGAGAGAGAGAGCCGGUGGGCCGGGUCCAUCCCGCGUGGUCCCGGGUGGGACCCGCUUGUCGGCGACUCGGCUCACCGUGAGCGAGGUGCAUGCGGGGCGUGCUAGGGUUUGGGGAGGGAGGCGCGGCGCAUACGCGCGGUUCGCGGAGGACGCGGUGCGGCGGGCCCACGCGCAGCCUCUCGGCUCGCGGUGGACCGCGCACGUGAGGGGGCGGAGGGAAGCGGCGGACCGGGGUCUGCUUGACCCGGUCGCGGCCGAGGUGGCGCCGACAUGGCGCUUACGUGGCUGCCACGCGGGUCGGCGGGAGUUAGACGACGACGCCGGCCGGAACGGACGGCGGACGACAGCGGCGAGCGGCGGAGCGAACCAUGGCGAUACAGGCGAAGGCGAGCACACCGGGAUGUUGCACAGGACGAGGGGAGACGAGCCAACGGCUCGGAUUUGCCGGAGGGAGCUCGACGGCGGCGGAUUGCGGCGGCGGCAACCGACGGCGGGAGAAGGGGGAAACGGCGAUGAGGUCACAAGGGGCCGAUUCCCGGCGGUGAGAGCAUCUACGCGGCUACGGGAAUCCGUUGCUAGCGUCGGAUUGGGCGGACUACGCCGAGCGAGGCCGGCGACGAGCGGGCGCUACGGAGCACGGGCAGCGACGGCGGCGAGCACACAGCGAGCGGCGGCAACGGUCGAGGCGGCGCCAGCUAGCUACGGGAAGGCUACACAUGCUACUACCGAAAACUAAGGGGAGGAGAUGGAUCGAGGAGGGAGAACGGGGGAAUGCACUACCGAGAUGAGGCGGGGCGCUAUGACGAGAGGCCGACGGCACGGGAGUGAUCUCUUCGGCCUCGGGCCGGGGAAGAGGAAGAAGGCGAGCGCCCGGAGUCCCCUUCCGCGUCCUAACGCGCACUGGGCUCCUCCGGCACACGCGACGGCGGCGGCUGGCGAGAGAGACAGCAAUGGCGCGGGCGAGAAACGGGAAAGAUUGGGAGGGGAAAGAGGAAGGGAGGCGCUUGGGUUUAUAGGGCGGCGAUGUCGGUUUGGAAACCGACCUUGGGCGGUCAAGGGAGCGAGCUGGCGCUCGGCGCUCGCGGCCAAAACGGCGACAGGAGGGGGGGGAGGAUGACGCCGGCGGGAGGGGAAAAGGGAAAAAGGGGGGAGAGAAAGAGGGCUUGCCUCCUUGCCGCUUUGGGGAAAAGGAGGAGGGAGAGAGGGCGACGCGGCAGAAGGGGGAGCUCUGCCUCCGUCCCUUGGAGGCACGCGCGGGGAGAGGCGGGGCCGAGUCGAUGACGACGGCGAUGACGGCGGCCCCCUUUGGAGUGGAGCGGCGACACGGGCGGCAGACACGGGGCAGGCGCGGCAGGCACUGACGGCGGCGGCGAACUGGCCGGUCGGCCACCACGGGCGCGCGCGCGCGCGGGCGGCGCGGCGAUUUGGGCGGCAUCGGCGGGAACGGCAGCGAGAGUGGAGAGGGAGGAGGGCUCGGCGCGGCUCACGGGCAGAGCGGGGAGAGAGAGAGAGAGAGAGAGAGAGAGAGCCGGGGAGGGCGGGCCAGAUGGGCCGAGAAGGAUUCGGCCCAUCGAGCCCGAGGGAGGCGAAUCAGACUUUUGCGGAGGGAUUGAUUUUAGAAGGAUUUGGAUUCGGGAUUGAACUUGACGAUAGAUCGGGGAUUUGAGAUCUGAGAUGGUAUGGACACUAGACGACAAGCAAAGAAACGGAUUUCGCAAAUAAGGUUUUUAAGAGAUAGUUUUCCCGCUAGGCGCCACGACGGAACGGGCGCUACAUGCAUCCAUGUGAAGAUCCCUCAAGCGCACGAGACCAUUGUAGUGUUUUACUACAGAGUGUUCCAAGGUAUCGUGUCUAUGAUGACAAUAGCCCUGCACCAAACACACAUAGGUAACUCCAACAAAGAAAAUACACACAUAGGUAUCUCCAACAAGGAAAAUAUUCUAGUGAUUGUAAUUCAUAAGGAAUAAGGAUAAAUUGAUCAUAUAGCUUCACGAUUCUAGUUUAUAGCAUUGAAAGAUAUCGAUUCAUUGAAAUAGCGAACAUUUGCUCCUCACUGUUUUUACCAUCACAUAUACUCCCUCCGUUUCAAAAUAUUUGACACCGUUGACUUUUUAGCACAUGUUUGACGUCUUAUUCAAAAAAAAUUGUGAAAUAUGUAAAAUAUAUGUACAUGAAAUUAUAUUUAACAAUGAAUCAAAUGAUAUAAAAAUAAUAAAUAAUUACUUAAAUUUUUUGAACUAGUUGGGUGACCCGCGCAAUUGCGCGGCUAGCACCCAAACAAAAUUAUAUAUUUUUUAGUAUGAUUUUACUUAAAAUUUAUUAAAUAGAUAUCUCAUUGUCUUAAGACUUUAAAAGACCAAACCUUAUCAUCCUCGUGUUUCUAAUUAUAUACUUUUUAAAAGUCACACCAGUUACCACCUCUUAUGUCAUUUCCUUCUUUAUUUGCUUGCUCGAUCUACAACUAUUUCUAUUCAUUCUUCUUGGAACCUUUAAAAAUUGGAUUUUAUAGUUUUUAGAGUUUAUUGUCACGUUGGGUUUCGUUUUUAUAAUUUAUAGAUAUCCCGUCAAACGUUGCCAUUAUACUCCUCUACGGCCCGUCUACUGUUUCUUCUCUUUAUUGUCAUUAAGAUUUUAAAAAUCGAACAUAAUUAUCGUUUGGAUUCAUUUUUACUUUCUAGAAGUCUCGCCAAACCAUCAGCGGCUUUGCCAUUGUACUCCUCUACGACUCACCCGCUGCCUUCCUUCUUUAUUGUCAUUGAGAUUUUAAAAUCGAACAUGAUUAUUAUUGGGUUUUUUUUUACUUUUUGGAAGUUCCAAACCUUUAAAAAUUGGACUUGUAGUUUUAUUUUUUAUAAUUUUUAGAAGUUCCAUCAAACGAUGCCACUAUGCCCCUCUACAGCACGUCCGUCGCCUACUCUUUAUUGUCAUUGUGAUUCUGAAAAUCGAACAUAACUAUCAUUGGAAUUCAUUUUUUUAUUUUCUAGAAGUCCCGUCAACCGUCGACGGGCUGUGCAACUAUACUCUUAUACACCCCGCCCAUUGCUUCUCCUUUUUAUUGUCAUUAAGAUUUUAAAAAUCGAAUAUGAUUAUCAGUGGGUUUAUUUUUUUUACUUUCUAGAAGUCCCAACAACUGCCUUACUUGUUUGCUUCACGACCUACCUGACGUCCCUCCUUUUAAUCGUCAUCAGGAUUCUAUUUGGUGUUUUAUUAAUAAUUUUUAUAUGUCGUAUCAACCGCCACCACUCUACUCCUUUAUAGGCCUGUUACUUAAUUUAUCUCGUCAUGUGUUUUAGAUGGUCUUUUCUUUUAAUAGUCUUUAUUUUUAUCACAAAUUUUAGUUAUUUAUAAAUUGUAUUCCUAAUUGAAAUCUUAUUUUAUUCUAAUUUCAUAAUUUAUUUUUUAAAAAAAUAGUUAAUAUUGUAUUAUGUUCUUUUAAUGUUUUUAUUUUUUAUUUGAAAUUUUAAUUAAUCUCGUAUUGGGUUCUUAUAUGGAUUCUUCUUUCAAUAUUGCUUAUUUUUAAUUCCAAGUUUCAGCUAAUUUUAAAUUGUAUUCCUACUUGAACUCUUAUUUUAUUUUUGUUUGCUAAUUUUGGAUUUAUUUUUAUUUUUAUUCUGAAUUUUAAUUAAUCUUGUAUUGGGUUCUUAUAUGGACUCUUCUUGUAAUACUCUUUAUUUUUAAUUCCGAAUUUCAGCUAUUUUUAGAUUGUUUUACUACUUGACUCUCAUUUCCUUUUCUAAUUUUGGAUUUUAUUUUAUUUUUAUUUCUAAUUUUUAUUAAUCUCGUAUUGGGUUCUUAUAUGGAAACUUGUUUCAAUAUUGCUUAUUUUUAAUUUCGAAUUUCAGCUAUUUUCAGAUUGCAUUUCUACUUGGACUCUCCUUUCCUUUUCUAAUUUUGGAUUUUAUUUUAUUUUUAUUUCGGAUUUUGAUUAAUCUCGUACUGGGUUUUUAUAUGGAAACUUUUUUCAAUAUUGCUUAUUUUUAAUUCCGAAUUUCAGCUAUUUUUGAUUGUAUUCCUACUUGGACUCUUCUUUCCUUUUCUAAUUUUGGAUUUUAUUUUAUUUCUAUUUCGAAUUUCGAUUAAUCUCGUAUUAGGUUCUUAUAUGGAAACUUCAAUAUUGCUUAUUUUUAAUUCCGAAUUUUAGCCAUUUUUGGAUUGUAUUCCUACUUGGACUCUUCUUUUCUUUUUUUUCUUUUUCUCCGAUUAAUGUGAGAAUUUCUAGUCUCCACAGUGAACGUGAUGCCUCCUUUUUGAGCUGUCUUAAUAAUAUACUACCUCCUUCCCUAAAUGUUUGACGUCGUUGACUUUUUUAAAUAUGUUUGGCCGUUCGUCUUAUUCAAAAACUUAUGUGAAAUAUGUAAAACUAUAUGUAUACAUAAAAAUAUAUUUAACAAUAAAUCAAAUGAUAGGAAAAGAAUUAAUAAUUACUUAAAUUUUUUGAAUAAGACGAAUGGUCAAACAUAUUUAAAAAAGUCAACGGCGUCAAACAUUUUGUGAUGAAGGGAGUAAUAGAUAAGACGAAUGGUCAAACACGUAUAAAAAGUCAAUGGUGUCAAACAUUUUAAAACGAAGAGAGUAUUUAUAUAGUCACAUCUGGCCACCUCCUUUGCUCCGCUACUGCAGUCAUCACUCCAUGCUCGGUGCGUGUGGGAGGAGGCGACGGAGGGUCUGCGGCGAGGGCUAGGGAUGACGCCGGCCGACGGCGCAUCGUGGACUCGGGAAGAAGGACGAGGCCAGCCGCCACCGCGCGCGUCAAGCUGCUGGGGAGGAAGGUCGAGGCCGGCCGUCGCGUCGGGCUGCGGAGGAGGAGGAACACCGGCCGCCGCCGCGUCGAGCUGGAUGAGGGAGGAGGUCGUGGCCGCCGCAUCGGGUGGCUGGGAGCCCAGGAGGAGAGGAGGUCGAGGCCUGCGGGUGCGGGGGCACAUAGGGUAGCGGAUCGGACUGGGCCUUGGGCCUUUGAGACCGAUUGCCGAGAAGUCCGCGGCCCAAAGCCAGAGAGAAUGCUUUGUCAGCCUGGCCCACUAACGCUGUCACGUAAAGCAAGCUAGUAGUAGCAUGUUGCAUCAUCAUCCGUCUCGCUAAUCUAAUCGCUAUACUUCACUGCGAGAGCACACUUGUGUGAUCUGUCAGCCCUGUGCCCGCGAGCGCGAUUUGGUAUGCGGGAGCAGGAGACGGACGCCGAACUGCCGCAGUGAAGUUGGCGACCGUACGUCCGAUGCGCGCUUGCAUGUCAUCCAGGGCUAGGCAUGUCCGGCUGUCCGCAAAGAAAAUUGCUAUGCAUACCACCCAUCUAUUCCACUCACGUCAACAGUUGUUAACGGCUACAGUGCAUAUGAAUAUGCUUUUUUUCGAUUAAUCUAUGAUUCAUGUCUCUAGUUAUCUAAGUGUAUCUUAGAUAUAGCAGUACUCAUCCGCAAUCUAAAUGACGUACAGAUCGAUACAUCCCUCUCCGCUUUUGUCACUUCUUGUUUUCUCUUUCCUUUUUUUUCCAUUAUUUGUCAAUCAACAUUAGUAAAUUAAUCAUUCCUACCCCAAAUCUCUUAUAUGGUAAGUAUUAGAAAUAUUACGACAUAAACUUAAAAUGUACUCCUAAGUCCUACAAUUUACACUGUGCGGUCCUGAUGACACACAACAAAUGGGAAAUUAACGGUAUAUAGCCAUGGAUCAUGAGUCAUGACGCUCCCAAUCUUUGUGUAACGACUGAGCCCGUCAGUUAGAUGGACACUCAUGCCUCGUGCCACCGUGCGGCCUUCGUUGCCGCCAACUACACGACUUCCCAGUUCCCACGUUGCUUUGCAUUCGUUGUUCAAAACUCUAUGGCCUCUGUUGGCACUUCAUCUUUUUCUAAGUUGAGCUUAAUAAUUCCGGUUACUAAAUGCUAAUGUCAAUUUUACAGUCAAAAUUUGAUAAUUUCGGUAUGUGUUACAAUUUUAAUUUGGGACUGUCUAUAGAUCAUUUGACAGAAAACCCUUUUAUAAAUCUUGCAAAUUUUAGACCACCCGAUUGCUUCAAGAUUAGUCCAGACCACCAAAGCCUAAAAAUCAUCUCUCUUCUCCCGAUUCCUUCACGCCGCCGCGUUCCUCAGCGCUUCCCCCCGCCUCCGCCACCGCCGCUGCCGGCCCAGCGCGCCGCCGCCCGGCCUCGCCGGCUGGCUGAAAGGUGCCCCCGGCCGGCCCCCUCCCCCUCCCCUUCCCCCUCCCCUUCCCCCUCCCCCUCCCUCUCCUCUCCUUUGCCUCAAGCUAGCGGCAGCGAGCUGUCCGUCAUCUUCCCCGUCGCCAGCGGCGGGACACCACCAUCGCCCGCCUCCUCCUACCACUAUUUCCGCUUUGCCCCCAGCCCGCCGCCGUCCUCGAACCCCACGGCUUCGGCAGCGCCGCUGCCGCCUAGCCGCCCGCCCGAUCCGCCGCCCACCGCUGGGCUGUUGCCUCCCACGGCUAUCCCUCUAAAACCGGCGAACUCCCCCCUCUUCCGCCUCCCCCUCCCCCCUCCCACCCCCACCCCACCCCAGGACCCUAAUUCGUCAGCCCUCUACCGGGUUUGGGUUCGCCGGCGCCGGAGAAGAAGAGGUGGUCGCCGGAGUUUGAGAAGAAGAGUACGAAUCGCGAAGCACAUCAAGUGAUCCAAAAUUUGCAAGAUUUGAGGUUGGAUUUUUCUGUCAACAGAGCUUUAGCAAUUCCGUUUUAGUUUACUUUGACAAGGAGGUUGAUAGAGGAAACAUGAAACAUUUCUUUAUUGAGAUUUGAAAUAAAUCAACUAGAAAAAGAAAUUGUGUGGCAUCUGACCCAUAUGUGUACAACUUACAUCCCACUAGUGCAUGUACACUGGUGGAGAAACCAUCUUUCGUCGGUCCGGCCCGAUUUCCACAAUAGUCCCGGAUGCAAUAAAAACUGGGGCUAAAGAUGAUCUUUAGUCCCGGUGGGACUAAAGAUCAUCUUUAGUCCCGGUUCGAAUGCUGUCAGGACCUGUCAGGCCCCCCCGGGAUCUUUAGUCCCGGUUGGUAACACCAACCGGGACUAAAGAUCCCGGUGAUCUUUAGCCCCGGUUGGUGCUACCAACCGGGACUAAAGUCCCACCCCUAUAUAUAUGUCUUCUUCCUCCUCCAGCUGCCCGAGCAAGCUUCAAAAUUACUUCAAAAAAGAGGGGAGGUCAUGCCAAAAUUUCUAUUUAAUUUAUUUUGGUGAUUACAUACAAAUCGGAGGUGCCUAAAAGGUUUGCAACUUCAUCCUCCAAUGUUUUUUUUGUCAUACUACAUUUGCACCUAUGUUUUGCACACUUUUUUUUGUCUACAAAAUUUAGUUGUAAGUUGAUGAGAGAGAAAAUGUGUGUGGGGAAGAAAGAAUAUAUAGAAAUUUAGUUCAUUUGCUAAACAAUGUUUUAUAAAAUAGUUGAGAAGGAAAACUCUAGUGAAAGUUAAUCUUAAAUAAUAGAAAACAAACUAAAAUGAAAAUUAAAAGAAGUAAAACACAUUAAAAUUAGUUUAAAACUUUACAACUAGUUUUUAAGAAUUAUUUGGUGUAAUAUUUUAUGAUUUUUGUAUGAAUAAAGAUAUCUUAUAAUUAUUGUAUGACUGUCAUUAUUGUAAGAAUAAUUAUUUGUGUGCGGUUUUUUUUGACUCAUGUAGAUGGAUCGGCAAUGGAUGUACGCUGACCGGCGGUCCAAAGAGUUUAUUGACGGCGUGCACUAUUUUUUGAGAGUGGCCGAAGCUAACAGGCAAAGGGGUUUUAUUUGUUGUCCAUGCAAUAAGUGUAAGAAUCAGAAGGAGUAUUCUGCAUCCAGGACUAUUCAUUUCCACUUGUUUGAGUCGGGGUUCAUGCCAAGCUAUAAUUGUUGGACAUCCCACGGAGAGCAAGGUGUUGAAAUGGAAGAAGAUGAAGUGGAAGACGACAAUAUUCCGGACUUUGCUCAGUAUGUUGGAUUUGAAGGAAAUCAAACGGGCGAGGAGGAAAUAGCUGCUAAUGGUAACGACGUUGCGGAUGAUCUUGGUCAGAUGUUGCAGGACGCCAGUGAGGACUGCGAAAGUGAAAAGGAGGCCCAUAAAUUGGACAAGAUGUUGGAGGACCACAGAACUUCGUUGUACCCAGGUUGCGAGCAGGGGCACAAAAAGUUGGAUACCACUCUGGAGUUGUUGCAAUGGAAGGCAAAAAAUGGGGUUAGUGACAAGGCAUUUGGCGAUUUAUUGAAACUCGUCAAGAACAUUCUUCCGGGGGGAAACAAAUUGCCCGAGACAACGUACGAGGCUAAGAAGAUAGUCUGCCCGUUAGGACUGGAAGUUCAUAAGAUUCACGCAUGUCCGAACGAUUGUAUCCUAUAUCGCGGUGAGGAGUAUGAGAACCUAGAAGCAUGCCCUGUUUGCAAAGCACUACGAUACAAGAUUAGACGGGACGAUCCAGGAGAAGUUGACGGGCAGCUAACAAAGAAGAGAAUUCCUGCUAAGGUAAUGUGGUAUUUCCCUAUAAUACCACGGCUAAGGCGUUUGUUCAGGAACAAGGGGAAUGCUAGAAUGUUGCGAUGGCACGCUGAAGAGCGUCAACAAGACGGGAUGCUGAGACACCCCGCCGAUGGUUCGCAGUGGCGAAACAUCGACAGAAAAUUUAAAGAAUUUGGAAAGGACGCACGAAACAUACGGUUUGGUUUGAGUACGGAUGGCAUGAAUCCUUUUGGAGAGAUGAGCAGCGGCCAUAGCACUUGGCCCGUUACGAUGUGUAUCUACAACCUCCCCCCCUGGCUAUGCAUGAAGAGGAAGUACAUAAUGAUGCCGAUUAUUAUUCAAGGCCCCAAGCAACCUGGUAACGACAUCGACGUGUACCUAAGACCACUGGUCGAAGAUCUUAAACAGUUGUGGAAGAAGGAAGGUGUCCCCGUGUGGGACGAGGACAAACAGGAGGAGUUUAACCUACGAGCGCUGCUGUUCGUAACCAUCAACGAUUGGCCUGCACUUAGCAACCUAUCCGGACAGUCCAACAAGGGGUACAAGGCUUGCACUCACUGUAUGGAUGAAACAGAAAGUACGUAUCUUAAGCACUGUAGGAAGGUUGUAUACAUGGGUCAUCGUCGAUUCCUUGCAGCAAACCACCCGGUACGGAAGAAAGGCAAGCACUUCGAACAUAAGGCCGACCACCGUACGAAGCCUAAACAUCGCAGCGGGAAAACAGUGUUUGCUAUGGUUAAAGAUCUUAAAGUAGUGUUCGGAAAGGGGCCUGGAAGCCAGCAUAUAGAGAGCGAAGAUGGUCACGCGGUGAUGUGGAAAAAGAACUCUAUAUUUUGGGAGUUACCAUAUUGGGAAUUCUUGGACGUACGCCACGCAAUCGACGUGAUGCACCUCACUAAGAAACUUUGCGUAAACCUUCUUGGCUUCCUAGGUGUAUACAGAAAGUCGAAAGAUACACUGGAAGCACGUAAUGAUCUGAAGCAUAUGGAACAACGCGGCGACCUUCACCCGGAACCAAAGGAGAAAGGAAGCCAUUACUUGAGUCCAGCCAGCUACACUCUUAGCAAGGCAGAGAAGGAAAGUAUGUUUGAAUGCUUGGAGAGCAUAAAGGUACCGUCUGGAUACUCCACGAAUAUCAAGCGAAUAAUAAGCACGAAGGAGAAGAAGUUCACAAACCUAAAGUCUCAUGACUGUCACGUGUUGAUGACACAACUGCUACCAGUUGUAAUAAGGGGUAGCCUUCCAGACAAUGUCCGGGCAACAAUAACAAAGAUAUGUGCAUUCAUGAACGCAAUUUCGCAGAAGGUCAUCGAUCCGGAUAGAUUAGAAGCCCUUCAGAAUGAAGUGGUGCAAUGUCUCGUCAGUUUUGAGUUAAUAUUUCUACCUUCAUUUUUCAAUAUAAUGACGCAUCUGCUUUGUCACCUUGUGAAAGAGAUCCGUAUUCUCGGGCCUAUGUACCUACACAACAUGUUUCCUUUCGAGAGGUACAUGGGCGUUCUGAAGAAGUAUGUUCGUAACCGUGCUCGUCCAGAGGCAAGCAUCGCCAAGGGUUAUGGAACAGAGGAGGUCAUCGAAUUUUGCGUAGAAUUUAUCGAAGACCUUCGCCCAAUCGGGGUACCUGAAUCACGCCAUGAAGGGAGACUACGGGGAAAGGGAACUCUCGGAAGGAAAGCAAUAACGACGGUAGACAACAAUUUAUUCCGUAAAGCCCAUUUCACUGUUCUGCAACACUCUUCAUUGGUAGCUCCUUACAUCGAGGAGCACUUGGCUCUAGUUCGCGCCAGGAACAUCGGUAAGUCCGAUGCAUGGAUUACACGGCAUCACAUUGAUACUUUCCCCGCGUGGCUACGACAACAUCUCAUGGGUAACGAGUCGAUCAACCAACAACUUGCCUUCCUGGCGAGGGGACCGUCUGGGUCGAUCGCGACAUUCCAGGGAUAUGAGAUCAAUGGGUACACAUUCUACACAAGAGCCCAAGACAUGAAGAGCACGAACCAAAACAGCGCUGUUCGUGUCGAUGCCAUGGGACACGAUGGAACAACUGCCACGUAUUACGGUGCCAUCGAGGACAUAUGGAACUUGACUAUGGUCCUCUCAAGGUUCCUCUGUUCCGGUGCCAAUGGGUUAGGUUGACUGGUGGAGGCGUAAUGAUUGAUGACAGUGGGAUGACAACUGUUGACCUUAACAAGGUUGGAUACUCGGACGAACCUUUUAUCCUUGCCAAUGAUGUAACGCAAGUCUUUUUCGUGAAGGACAUGUCUAGCAAAGGAAAGAAGGGCAGAGGGCCUGAUGAGCCUAAGCGUCAAGUGGUUCUCCCAGGCAAAAGAAAAAUCGUCGGAGUUGAGGACAAGACUGACGAGGAUUACGAUCAGUUGGAUGGGCAACCCCCUUUCACGGUGACGAUUGACCCUAGCAUCCUCCUAUCAAAUGAAGACACCCCUUACUCACGCAGCGAUCACAAGGAGGGAACAAUAGUGAGGAGAAAGUACGUGCCGUAAUUAUUGUGUACACGAUGUAAACUAUUUUGGAUGUAUUGAUUAUCCAUAUAAAUCAAUUGAUGUAUGGCAUAUGUUAAUUACGCACGAUUAUUAGAGGUUUCAACAAGUUUAAAUCAUGUAUAUGCUAGUUAUAUGUGAUACUUACAAUUUUUAAAAGUUUUAAAUCACACAGGUGGCAAUUUCAUAUGUAUGUUAAUUAGAGUUUUUAACAUUUAAUUUACUAGCAUUCAUAUGCUAAUUAUAAUUGACUAGAGGAUUUUUAAAAGUUUUAAAUCACGCAAGUGGCAAUUUCAUAUGUUAAUUAGAGUUUUUAACAUUUAAUUUACUAUCAUUCAUAUGCUAAUUAUAAUUGACUGGAGAAUUUUUAAAAGUAUUAAAUUUAAUAUAUUUUUAAAACUAUCAUUCAUAUAUUAGAGUUUUUCACAAUUUAAUUUACUAUCUUUCAUAUGCUACUUAUAUAUGACUAUUCGAAUUUUUAAAAGGUUAAAAUCAUGCAUGUGGCAUUUACAUAUGUUAAUUAGAGUUUUUAGCAUUUAAUUUAAUAUAAUUCCUAUGCUAAGUACAUAUGAUGAUUACAAUUUUUAUUAAUUUUAAAUCAUGCAGUAUGUACAUACAUAUCUUAAUUAGAGUUUUUACCAAUAUAAUAAUAUCAUUCAUAUAUAUGCUAAGUAUAUAUGAUUAUUGGAAUUUUUAUUAAUUAUAUUUUCUUAUUACGAUUUAUCCACUUAAUUUAUUACAGCCAAAAAUAAUUUUUCGAAGUAAUUGUCAUUAAUCUUUGUACUUUAAAUAAUGUUAAUGCAUUAACUUCUAUUUUAUAAACACAUAUGUAAGCGAAAAUCAUAUGCAGUGCUAUAAUCUUUAGUCCCGGUUCUUAACCCUAACCGGGUUUAAAAAGAAUUUCGAAAUAGCGGGAAAAGAUAUUUACUCCCGGUUGUUGAGAACAACCGGGACUAAAGAUAUCUUUAGUCCCGGUUGUGGAGAACAACCGGAAGUAAAUAUCUUUUCUUUACUCCCGGUUGUUCUCAACAACCGGGACGAUAUCUUUAGUCCCGGUUGUAGUCCCGGUUGUUGAGAACAACCGGGAGUAAAGAUCUUUUCUUUACUCCCGGUUGUUCUCAACAACCGGGACUAAAUAUCUUUAGUCCCGGUUAUUGAGAACAACCGGGAGUAAAGAUCUAGGGGUAUAUAUAUUCCCGGUGCGCCCUCGUCUUCUUCACCAACACUUAAACUUUUUCGGCCGAUCGAUCUCUCUCGGCCUCUCUCCUUCGCCACCACUGCCUAGGGCAAAUCCCCGCGCCGACGCCGCCGUAUCUCGCCGUCGUCUCGAGCUCGUCGUCCUCGCCGCCGCCUCCGCCUCCUCCGCUGCCGCCGCAUCUCUGGGGUGAGAGCCGCCGCCACCAGAUCUCCCUUCAUGCAUCUCGAUCUCUCCGAUCUCGAUCUCUCUCUGUCGCGCCGCCCGCCACGAGACACCGCGCCACGACGACGACGCGCCACGCCGCCGCCUUCGACGCCGCGCCACGCCGCCGCCGCAUGCCAACGCCACGCCGCCGCCGCCGUCGCCACGCCGCCGCCGCCUUCGCCGCCGCGCGCGCAAUGCCGCCGCCGCCACGCCCCGCCGCCGCCGCCACGCCACGCCAUGCCACCGCCGCCCACGCCACGCCGCCGCCGUCACGGCCCCACAACGCCACGCCGCCGCCGCCGUCGCCACGCCGCCGCGCCAACCGCCGCCCUGAUGCCGCCACACCGCCGUUAACGAACGAGAACGAGAACGAUCGAACGAACGAGAGCGAGAACGAACACGUCAACGUACGUUGCCGCGACAACAUGAACGAGAACGAGAACGAUCGAACGAACGAGAGCGAGAACGAGAACGAUCGAACGAAGACAAGCGAGAACGAGGGAACGAACGUGAAUGAGAACAAGCGAACGAACGUGAAUGAGAACGAGCGAACGAACGUGAACGAGCUAGGGAACGUGAAAUGCAAUAUAUAUAUAUAUAUAUAUAUAUAUAUAUAUAUAUUUGUAUAUAUAUAUAUGUAUAUAUAUAUAUAUGUAUAUAUAUAUAUGUAUAUAUAUAUAUAUAUAUAUGUUACUUCGCAUUUAUCCUAAUACAUUUUUUUGUAUCUUGCAGAAAAGACGUGUUGUCGGAGUCGUCCGUCAAGCCUGAGUGGAAGAGCUAGCCCUAGAAGGAAUUGGAGCAGGCAAGUGACGUAAUAAUAUAAAUGAUUGUUAUAUUUGUAAUGCAAUUAAUUAAGAUUAUUAGACCUGUAAUUAGACUUAUCAUAUAAGAUUGUGUAGUGUUCUAAUAUUAUUUGAGUUUUAAUAUAAGAUUAUUUUAUUGCAAAUUAGACUUAGUUUGACAUUAUUGACUACAGAAUUGGUGCGACUCCUAGCAAUUGACUAUUGUAGUCUUAAUUAGAUUUAGCAUAUACGCACGAAACACUUAGCAUACAUUACUAUUUUAGUCUUAGCAUGUAAUAUUAUUUGAGUUUUAAUAUAAUAUUACUUUAUUUGUAAUUAGACUUGGUAUGUAAUUAUUGACUACGGAAUUGGUGCGACAAGUAGCAAUUGACUAUUGUAGUCUUAAUUAGACUUAGCAUAUACGCACGAAACACUUAGCAUAUACAUGACUAUUUUAGUCUUAGCAUGUAAUAUUAUUUGAGUUUUAAUAUAAGAUUAUUUUAUUUGUAAUUAGACUUAGUAUAUAAUUAUUUACUAGCUAGGGUUGUAUAAUAUACGUCACCCUAGACUUAGCUUAUAUCACGAUUUGUAAUUAGACUGAGCACGUAAGGUUGUGUAGGGUUCUAAUGUACGACAUUUACACUUAGCAUACAUGACUUAGAUUGUUAAAACAUAAAUGUCUCGUGACUUAGCAGAUGUUUCUUGUAUCAACAGAUGGCUGACCGCGAUGAGGAACAGAUAUUGUACGAUACAAUCGUGGAGGGAAGCAGCCAGUACUGGAAUGAAGAAGAGGGGAACGAGGAUCCAAACCAGUACUUGAACGAAAAAGGGAACGUGGAGAGGGAUGCGGAGGGGAACCAGCAGGGGCACGUGGAAAGGGAUGUGGAGGGGAACCAGGAGGAGGAGGCUAGUGGUAGUCAACCCUCCGUUGAACAGAAGAGGGCACGCGGGCAACGAGGUGCAGCGAAGAAGCUUGAGGGUCGGCACAUCAUAACGGAAGUGGAAGAAGAUGGACGUCCUAGUGCCCCGGCCGAAGCCGCCAAGAACUAUGUACGUCACAGCGGUUGGGUUGUGCGGGAUAACGUGCCUGUCAGUACGGUGUACUGGCGAAGAACAAGGGCACGCGGAGAUCAUGAGAGCUUUGUCCCAGAUUCGGAGAAAGAGAUGCUGUGGACCACAAUGCUCGAGACAUUCACCCUUCCUGCGGGUACAGAGGACAAAGUGAAAAGGUGGACUCUGAAGAAAAUGGCAGAACAGUUUCAGAGCUUCAAGGGAGAUCUAUACCAGAAGUAUAUACUGAAGGGGCAGACACCGAACUUCGACACAUUCCCAAAGCUAAGGGAUCACUGGGACGAGUUCGUUGCAUAUAAGACAGGUGAACAAGGGCAGGCGAUGAUGGAAAGAAACAAAGAAAAUGCCGCCAAGAAGAAGUACCAUCACCACUUGGGGUCAGGAGGCUAUAGCGUCGCGAUGCCGAAGUGGGAGCAGAUGGAGGCUAGAUUGAUUGAGAGGGGUAUCGAACCGGCAACAGCCAAUUGGCCGGAACGAUCGAAGUUCUGGUACUAUGCUCACGGUGGAACGCUCAACCCAGCUGAUGGCUCACAGGUCUUCGGCUAUCAGAUACAAGAGGCUGCGCGACGACUAACAGAUGCAGUGGAAGCCUCCUCUCAGGGCACGUUCCGACCAGACAGAGAUAGGGACGAGCUGACACUCGCCCUGCAGACUCCAGAGCAUCCAGGACGAACUCAAGGGAAAGGGGUGAUUCCUUGGAAGAUUGGUUUCAAGGAGGACAUCCACACGUACAGGAGUCGGAUGAGGAGCAAGAGAGAUACCGAGGCGAAGAUUGCAGACCUAGAGUUCCGGGUAUCGAGCUACGAACUCAACAUGCAAGAGGAGGUGGCAAGGAAGGUUGAUGAACGCAUGGCCGCACAUCGGUCCCAUGAUCCCCAGCCGACCAUUCCUCCUGCAAUGGUGAGCCCGUCAGGAAACCGUAGCAGCUGCGCCUCAACGGGGCAGGUAGGAUCACAGAGCAUGGACGCCAUACAAACACAGGACGAAUCGACCUGUCCCGUUGAUGACAUCACUCAGCGGACACCAUGUGAGCUGCAUAUUCCUUUCAAGAACUUAUCAAUAAAGGUAAGAUUUAGCCAUUCCGCUAGUUGCUGCUUAUAUAUGUUGAUUACUAAUAAAUAAUCUCUCACAACAUGAAGGUGGCGUCGGGCAUGGCCAUCCCAACGGACCCUUCAGGUACUUACCACUGCAGGCCGAUUCCAGCAGGAUACUCCAAGGUCGAAGUUGAGUUGGUCGAAGGCGCGUACGAGGACCUCGAGCUAGAUUACCCUGGAGGAGACGGUGAGACGCAUCUACGAGACACAUGCCAUGCCAUUAUUCUAUGGCGCAGGGUGGGCGACAAGCGGCGUCUCGUGCACCAUCUCCUCCGGCUCCGCCAUCUCCUCCUCAGGAUCCUGCACCGUCUCCUCCUCAUGCUCCGCCAGCACCGUCUCCACCUCAGGCUCCAGCAUCGACUCCUCCUCAGGAUCCUGCACCGACUCCUCCUCGUGCUCCUACACCUACUCCCCCGCAAGCUCCUCUUCCGGCACCUUCAAAGUCAAGGGCCACCCCAACUCCACCGCUUGCCCACACAAGGGCAACAAAGAAGGCGAAAGUUGACGCCGCCAAGAACAAGGACCCGGGGUACGAUUGCACGCAAGAGGAGCUUGACGCUUACGUUGCAUCAGAAGUCAAGAGACAAUUCAAGCCUCGAAGUCCAGAAAAGAAGAUUCCUAUAGACCCCAGUGUCAGGAACUUCUUCAGGGGUAUAUCUGCAUCUGUCAAGGAGGCCAUCAAGCUAUCGGACUAUGAGCGAACGCUGAAGAAAGCAUCUUCUGGAAAGUCCAAACCAGUCCCUCAGCUUGGAGAGCAACCAAACCAGGAGAUCGAGCCGUUGGUGACCGGUAAAGAAAUGACGAUAGAACAAUUUAUUACUGACACCGGUCUAACUACGGAUCAAUUGCUAGGAGUCGCACCAAUCGAAAAGGCAGAAGUGAAAUACAUGUACGAACUCGGUAAACCGCUUGUCAAGCCUGAGCUGCUGCAGUCCCUACCCACACAAAUGUACAAGUUCCAUCAGCUGUACAUGGAGAUGAGCGCCACCGGUAGAGAGAUGAUCGGAGCGAGGAUCAGGGACACGGACUUCUUGCAAGGAGAUGACAUUCUCUGGAUCAAUUUCAGGGGAAUCUACGAACUAUACCAGCUGGACGCCCUCGACGUCUCUAUUAUAAGUUGCUGGAUUUUGUAAGUAUAUCGUUCAGUUAGAUUUCUUACUAUACGUCUCCUUUAAUUAAUUAGGUCCUUGUAUAUAAGUAGACCAUAGAAAAUAAUAUACUCCCUUUUAUCGUUGUAGAAUGGAGAUUCAAAGGGCCCGACGGCGGAGGGUUUUCGAUACUGGAUUCAUCGACCCUCGGAAAGUAAACGUCGCAAUGCUCGACCAAUAUCCACAAGAAACAGAGGACAAUCUCGUCCAUCUCCUGAAGGCGCAGCAUUACAAGACGUUCAUACUGUUGCCAUACAACACAGAGUUAGUUUAAUUUUACUGUCUUCCUAGAUACCAAAUUUCAUUCCCGUACGAACUUGCUAAGUGUUUCAUAUGUAAUGCAUUCCACGCACAUUGCAGAUUCCACUGGGUGCUUUUACUCAUCGACCUGGAGGCCUGCACCGUCAACGUAUAUGACUCAAUGGAUAAAAAAGAGUCUACGUUUGACAAGGUUUUCGAACUUAUAGACAGGUACCGUCAUAAGUUCCUUUGUUAAUUAAGAAAAUCUUGUUAUGUUAAUUGCUACUACGAAUCAUAGCUUUAAACUCCAUGUAGGGCUUGGUAUCGGUUCCGUCAUUUGGUCCGCGGCAAAUGGAGAGAAAGACUUAGGCGGAAGUUCAAAUUUCCUAUGAGUACACAUGCUCUACAUUUAUAUUUCUCCGAUUCAAAUACAUACAAGUGUAUAUUAAUUAGAUCUCUCGUUGUUUGUCAUUUAUUUGUAGUGCGCAAAGCAAAAGCAGGGAACUAACUUGUGCGGCUAUUACGUGUGCGAGUAUUGCCACUGCCUUGCAGACCAAAUCAUCACCACAAGAGAGCUCGAUGUACGUACAAAUAAAUUCAAAAUUUCAUUACGUAGCGAUUUCUUGUUUAAUUACUAAUCAAUUUCAUACAUUCAUAUAGUUUAUUCGCAUGAGGGAUAACCUGACCACACACAAAGAAUUUAUCGCGGCGGUUCAAGAACAACUCAUGGGAUUCAUCAACGAAGAAAUCCUUGAUCCCAAGGGUGAAUUCUACUACGACGGAAACACAAUUCACCGGUCCUUAGCUUCUGAGCUACUACGUCGAAAUCGUAGCUAGCUAGGACAUAUAAUGGAUUGUAAUUAAUACAUGACUACAUAUGUUUCUAUAUGCAUGUGUACACAUUUUCUAUAAUGUAAAUAUAUUUUGUUCAUAUAUAUAUCUAUAUACAUAUGCAUUUGCAUAACAUAUAUAUGUAUAAAUACAUAUAUAUUAUGCAUGUAUAUACAUAUAAUAUAAUAUAAUAUAUAUAUAUAUAUAUACAUAUAUAUAUGUAUGCAUAUAUAUGUAUUGAAACAUAUAUAUAUGCAUGGUUUAUAUAUAUAUAUAUAUAUAUAUAUAUAUAUAUAUAUAUAUAUAUAUAUAUAUAUAUAUAUAUAUAUAUAUAUAAACCAUGCAGCAACAGGGGCAUGCAAAAAAAAAAAAGGUCAGCUCGAUCUUUAGUCCCGGUUGGUGUUACCAACCGGGACUAAAGAUCGAUCUUUACUCCCGGUUAUUUCACCCGGGACUAAAGAUAGCGAUCUUUAGUUCCGGAUUGGUACUCCCGGUUUGGAAACCGGGACUAAAGGGGGGUUACGAACCGGGACUACAAAGGGUUUCUCCACCAGUGGUACAGGCACAAGCACAACUUCUGCCUGCUGCUUGCGUGAGCCCGCAUGGUAAGAAGCUAAGCUCAACGAUUGGUGGAUGUGACAUAGUCGGACACGUAGGAUUAAUUCCUACUUAUAGCAUUUUCAAACUGCCGCACCGGCAAGGCGACAUGACGGUCACUAAAACCCAGUGGCACUGGCCGCCGCCGUCACUUCGUCCAUCCGCCGCUGCAGCCUCGCCGUCUUCUCCUCGGAGAGCGUCCUGGCCAUCCUGACGAGCGCGUCGGCGUUGCUCCCCUCGUCGGGCACCUUCUCGUACCUCCCGGUCUCCACGUUGACCCUCGUCACCUGCUGCCCCAGCAUGCGCUCGCCGACGCCGACGAGCUUCCUCAUGUUCUCCGGCGUCGCCUCGUCCAGCGCCGCCGCGGUGCUCCUGAGCGAGUCAUCCUGGUCCUCCUGGAUGCGGAGGUAGUUCCCCUCGCUGUGGAACAGCUGGAAAUUGACGCCGACGUGGAUGUCGACCAUGUCGGAGCUCCCCGCCAUGAAGAUGUCGAUGAUGGGCGCCAUCCCCCUGUGCCGCAGCCACCCGAGCGCCCCCCACCGGGAGCAUUUCUCCGCCGUGUACAGCCCCUCGUCGGAGGUCAGUCCGGUGCCGAUGGACAGGACGAGGAACCGGCCGCACUCCUUCUCCGGCGGCUUCGUCAGGAGCAGCGGCGCCUUCUCCUCCGCUAUCAUCUCCUCCGUGAUCAUCGUCAUGGCUACCAUCGUCUGCAGCACAAACACGAAGCAAACGUUGCAAACAAAUCUCUGGUCGAAUCCGACGAAUCGUCUAUGGAUUAUUGGAAAAUCUCUGAUGGAGUGUGACUGAUACAGGAUUGUUGGCGGCGACGCCGCCGUCGAUGAGGUUGUACUCGCGCGUUUCGCCGCUGGCGUCGUCGUGUGUCUGGAAGUAGUGCGCGGGGAGGUACGUCGGCGCCGCCGACGUGCCGAUGCAGACGUCGGAGAGCCGCGCGUUCUUCAGAGUCGAGUUCUUCGCCUGCAUAGACGCAGGCACCAAGAAUUUAACCACAUCUCUCUUCAUGAGAAUAUCAAUGGCGCUCGCGCGCGCGGCGCGCACGUACGUACGUCGUAUGUGGAGAAGAUGACGGGCUGGAGCAGCCGGACGUCGAAGGUGGGGAUGACCACAUUGGUGAGCGUGCCGUCCACCGUCGUUUCGCCGAGCACCUCCCGGACCAUGUCGCGGAGGUACCUGCCGUCGUACUUGGGCCCCCACACCGCGGCGACGGUGGAGGCGAGCUUGCCCCACCUCUGGGGGAAGAUGCGCGGGCCGUGCUCCUGGUAGAACGGGCAAAUCUCACCGGCGGCGAACAUCGGCCGCCGCGGCCCGUCUCCGUCCUCUUUGGGGGUGGCGAGCAUCGCGGUGAUCAGCCCGCCGGUGCUCGUGCCGGCGAUGUAGUCGAAGUAGUCGGCCAGCCUCGCAUCUGGCCCGUCCAGCCGCUGGAGCUCGGUCUCCAAGAACUCGAGCACCUUGCCUGGGAUGAUCCCCCGGAUGCCGCCGCCAUCGAUGGUCAGCACCGUCACCCUCUCGCCGGCGACACUGCCGGCGGCGGCGCUGCCGCCAUGGAAAAACUCACUAUGAAACGGUUGAGACAUGGCGUAGCAUAUCCUCUAAAUCAAAACCACCAUCGAAAUCAUCACUAUCGGUGGAAACAUCGACAACCAUUCUUUCACGCGACAUGUCUUCGAUUAUAAAAUUCUCUGCCUCAUUCAUCUCGAAACUUAACUCUUCAUCGUCAUCUUCCGGAUUGGCGAAUUCCCCGUGAUAGGUCCAAACCUUGUAGUUGGCGGUGAAUCCGUACUCCAUUAUGUGACCCAAUAUUUCACCAGGAUCUACCAACAAUUUCUGAUUCUUGCAAUGACGACACGGACAAAAGAUCUUUGUCAUAUUCUCCCUCAAAGCAUGCUCCUUAGCCUGAUCAAUAAAUUUAGAUGCUUCCUUAAUAAAUAUCGGCUGCGUUCUCCGUAUCUCAUACAUCCAUGACGACCGAUCCAUCUAAUUAUAUAAAGGCAAAAAAGUUACAGAUAAAAAAAUAGACCGCAGGUAUUUCAUACAAAAGUUUAAAUGCAUUUGUCUCCCAAAAAAAAUACAACAAUACAUGUAACUAGUAUGUACGAGGGGGUCGGUAGGUUCCAAUACUUAUCACACUGUUUAAACAGGUUGCAAAGCUUUUGGUUUCUGCAUCAGAAACGACAGUAGAUUCUUGAAGCAAUAUGCAACCAGAUUUAGGACAAAGUUUAUUUUCGAUAGGUUAUUAGUUGCGAGUCUGCGAGGAAAUAUAGAAACCAUCAUGAUAUCUCAACCGUUUCAUAGUGAGUUUUUACUUGAAUGUUUGAUAAGUAGAUGGGACAAAUAGCUAGAUUUCAGCACACAUGCUACAGAAUAAGGAGUUUAUCCUACAGAAUAUCUUUAUGACAAACAAUUUUCUGGGAACGCCAAAGUUCUUUAUUGUGAAUAUCAGCAGAUUAGUUGAUAAUCUACUCAAUCUACUGGUUUCCAUUCAUAGUGCUAGCUGGUGUAGUUGCCACAUUUUUUUCCUUCUUAUUCUUCAUAAGGCCUUCUGCUUCUUUCACGAGAGAACCGAAGCUUUCAGUCUUCUUUCCGGUAUGGUCGCUGCUAGAUAACAUCAUCAACGCUUCCAGUUCAAACAUUUGUUCGGAAGCUUUGGACAGAGAUACCAUCAAGUUCUCCAGCUCUUGUUUGGGGUAGCAUCCUUCAAGUUUUAGCAGUGAUAUGAUCAUCCUAGUGGCAAUCUUCAGAAUUCUCAGGCAAUUGACUGUUUGUUCACUGUUUUGAUCUACCAUCGUCCUCAGCUUACCGACAAAGCUGGAUGCAGAGUCUCCUCGGGCAAUUUCACCAGCAAGUGUAUCCAAAUCUUUACCAUCUCUGAUCCGUUUUUCAAAUAUUGCCACACUAAGUGACAGUAAAGCUGCAUGUAGUUUCCUCGUCCUGUCCUUUUUUUUCUUACCAAUGUCCUCCUUCUGGUCAUUGACGUCGACAUUAUCUUUCGAAGCAACGGCACCAGCACCUUCUUCAAUGUCAGGAUCUGUCUUGGUUCCGUCUGUUCCUUUUUCUGCCUUUUCUGCUUGCUUUUCUCCUUGCUUAGGUGGAGAGAGAGAGAUAAAUAUUUCGUUGAGAAUCUGCAACGGUAGGAUUGAUGCUUAUUAUUUGGCAAGGAUAAAAAUUCAAGAUGCGGUUAGUUAAAUAAGAAUAAAAUCAAACAAAACAAAUGCCGCCAUUUAUUUGAAAUUUAUCGAUCGCAGGACAUACCUUCGGUAGCACAUUUUGCAUGGCUUCCAUCAGUUUCUUGAGAUAGGAGGCUUCCUUUGUCCUGUGUAGAUGCUCGAGUAUUUCUGCUGCGCAUAUUCUGUAUUCUGUUUCCUCAUCAUCUAAAAGCACUGUCUUGAGAUCACGGACAACGGUGUCACUUGCCUUGAAGAUAAUGGUGGCAUUGGCAUUGGCAUUGCUUUUAUUUUGGUCGGACAGCAGUAUUGCCAGUAUGCCAACUGCCAUUUUUCUUGUGGAGGCGUCCUUGUUAGUCAAGAAGAUGUCUACGAGCAGCCUGAUGUUCGUUUCGCUAUAUGUUGUGUCUAUAUUCGAAGACGUCGUCGAAAGUGCUUCCAUAGGAUGCUGUUGCUGUGUGAAGAUGUUAAUGGCCUGCAUGUGGAGCUUCUUGUUGCUUUGGCAUUGCUUACAGAUGAUAAUGUUAUUCACUCUGAUGUCGUCUUUGUGAAUCGUCAAGAUGUGGGAGCGCAGAUCGUCGCCGGUCUUCCCAGGGGCGCUGACAAGCUGGGACAUGAGCUGCAGUGACUCGGUCACGAUGUCCUUCCAUGCGUCGACAUGGCCGUUGUUGUGGAUGUGGAGCAGGUCUUUUCUGACGGGCAGCAUGGCCUUGGAGAUAGUGCUCUGCUUUUUGCCGAUGAGAAAAAGGUUGUGCUCGUCGGCGGCGGCGAGCUUCUGAAGGAUGACGCGGCCCAGCACCAUGAGAUCCCUGUAGUGAGCGGACGGCGCACUGUCUCCGUCUUGCUGCUGCUGUUCCUGCUGCUCCGUGGUGGUGGUGUCGAGCAGCGACGAUAUGCACGAGAGCGCCUCCGGGAAGCUGGCGAGGCUGAUCUCGCCGGCGAGACGCGACACGAUCCGGGCGGCGUGCACCCGGAUGUUCCGGUUGUACUGGCUCGCGGACCGAAGCGACCGCAGCAGCUUCUUCAUCACCUUCCUGGAGGACGCCGAGCCGACCAGCUUCCUGAUCAGCGCGUGCUGCGCCGUCAGGUCCUUCUGCCCGAGGAUCGUGUCCAGGAUCAUCGCCCCGGACACGUAGUCGCUGGACUUGGACUCCGGCUUCAUCAGCUCCACGGCAAACGUCACCAGGUUCCACUCUUCUAGGAAGGAUGGAUCCUUCUCGCACCGGAUCUUGGUCUUCUUCAUGUACACCUUCACCAAUUUGCGCCACGCCCCCGCCCGCGCCCCCGCCCCGCCAGCCUCCUUACUGUUUUGCCAAUAUUUACUGGCCACCUUUUCGAUCAACCUUUUCCCGGCGAAGUAGGACACCCACUGGUAGAAGAAGAGGACGCCCUGGAAGAGUGCCAGUGAGUAGAGCACAUUGAGCGCCGGAGUCAGGUUGGCGCUGCCGUCGCCGUCGCCGUAGUCGUGCUGUAUGAGGCGCCACAGCGAUAGACUAGUGCUGAUGACCAGCCCAGACAGGUAGAGCACAGCCAGAGGGCACAGUAUGAUGGCGAACACCACCGCCUGGAUGAACGUCACAAGACGUCCUGCUCGUGAACGCCACAACUGGAUGCCCGAGUCGAACUCCUCGUCUUCGCACCUGAACACCAUGUCCAUAGUAACCAAGAAGCCAUCGACUGAAUUCACAGCAUGGCGCAGCUUUUCGUUCAGGAGAACAUCGAACACCCUGUUUAGAUCAUUCUUACAAUUACACGAUGGAUAGAGAAAUAUGGUCUCUAUAUCUGUAAGUAGAUAUACACACUUAAAUGAUAAGGAUAUCCUAACUGCACACGAAAAUCAACAUGAUGUAAACCAAAACAAUGAUUUACGUCACCCACCACAAGUGGGAAACGAAGAUGGUGUAAACUGUGAGGAUGAAUUACACCUCAAAAACUAGCUCGAUGGGAAUAUGGUCACAUUUACCGUACCAUGGAUCGAUUAGGUGCAGUCAUGCUAGAAAGGUACAACAGGAGGUGAACUCGCUCUUUAUAAAACUUAACAUAAAUAAUGGUAAGAAGUUUAUACUACCUAAAUGCUUCACAUUUGCAUUACUAUGAUUUACACUAAGGAGAAUGGCAUAUGCUCAAGAUGAGAAGGAUUACAGUUAACAAAAAUGGGCUCCUACACUAGCAACGACUAAUUACGCUUGAGAGAAGACUGUUUACACAACUGAAGGGAAGGCCAAACUCUAAGGUUUAUGCCACCUAGCCAAUCAGGAGACAUGGUGCAUGGCAUACAUUGUUCAAAAGAGGGUCAUUAUAGCUUUGAACACAACAAAGCCCACCUCAAAAGCAUUUUCCGAGGAGUUAGAAUCAUUUUACUGAAUACUGCGUAGGAGCUGAAAGGUCGUGCACGAACCAGAGAAAACUCUUUGCAUUCUUCAUUAUCUUGCCAUUAAACACCAGAACUUGGUUGUUCAUGUUCACACCUUAGUAGGGGGAUGUUUCUAGUAUAAAUACUCCUCUACUCCAUCUAUUAGAGAACUAUUGUUCAAGUGAAAAACUCUUGGAUGAGAGAUUGCUGAAGACCGUGUAUUGUCUUACCCCCAAUGCUCUUGAGUAUUCUUUGGACUUAUGAGAAGGAUUCUCAUAGACCCCCUAGUUCAUGUGUGAAGUAGAUCCGGAUUGUGGUUUUACGAUUUUUUUAAUUGUUGUAUUGGAGUAUAAGAUGUUUCGAAUCAUUCUCUCCCUAACUACUUGGCCGCAUCGACCUUGGUAAGAAUAAAGCUAGCUAUCAUUUUGCUACACGCAGCUAGUUACCGUUAAGCUGCUCUGUUUAUGCUGGUGUUCCUUGCUUCAAACCUAUUGCCCUGAAUUGAAGAUAUAUAUGGACCCCCCCCUUGGUGAGUGAGUUUGUGUCAUAUGUCUUUCUUUGACAUGGUAGGUUUAUCAUUCACAUAUAGCUUCUUUCCAUUAGAUAUUUGAGUGUUCUUAUUGAUUUUGAUUCCAUCCAAUGGUCUACAAAAUACCAAAGCUUUGCUAGUAUCUUGUGUCAUUCGCUUUCAUCGUGUUGCUAGUUCCCGUUGCAAUUUUUAUUGUCGCAACUCCUUUUUGUUUCAUGUUUUUGUUGGUUCAAGUUAAAAAGAUAGGAAAAAAAAAGAGGUGAGAAGAAGUGAAAAAAAUAAAAAAGAUGAAGAAGAAAGGGGACACCAUAUUUUACACAAGAAAGUUGAAGGUUUUGGAUGGUGCUGUAGUAAUUACUAUUAUAUUUUUCUGUUGCUUUGGAACUGCAGCAUAGGUAUAACUGCAAAUUAUGUAGGUAUUCUGUCGAACUUCAAAUGUUCUAACUUUGAUUGAAAUCUCAUGUAAUAACAAAUUAUGUUUCAAUAUUUUUCCCUAUUAUCUCGUAAAAAAUAUUUUUCCUUGUUGAUUCAUGCCAUUUGAUUUUUGAACCUUAUGGCAAUUUCAUUUCCUAAUAAGUAAAUACUAUAUAGCAAAUAAACUUGCUCUAUACUUCGUCCAAAUACAUUUGUUUCAAUGAAUACAUGAUUUUGUUGACAAAUAUAUCUGUUUACAACCAAAUUUGACAUUUGGAUAAAUUUAUAGCAAGUUUAGGCUAGAUUUGUAACAAACAGAGCUUUCCCAUGGCUGGUUGGACCAGAGGGUGAACUGUGGUUGAACCGCUAUUUUGUGGCCCAGUUGGACCGGUGGCCCAGAGUCUGAAUCCAAUCAAGGCAGUUCGCGUGUUUCCUAGCAUAGGCCUAAGGUUAGUUGAGUCCUAAUUGAUCUCUAAGUCUAAUAUCCAAUUAAGGCAGUUCGCGUGUUUCCGAGCAUAGGCCUAAGGUUAGUUGAGUCCUAAUUGAUCUCUAAGUCUAAUAUGACGUGCAAAAGGCUUGUGAAGACAUCAAUUAAAUCAUAUUUUUUACCUUUACCUUCUACCAAGUACUCUGGUUCGUCCAUCUUUAUCGGCAUCAUAAAACAUAUGCUUUUGCUUGAGAGUGUGAAAUCCUUAGGUUUGUCCCGUAAAUCUUUUAAUUCGCUCACGAGAAGAGUAGUUAUCUCCAAAUCAAACUAAAUUAGUCUAGAGGCUGGUUUUCUAAAUCCAUCUUGACCAAGAGCUUUUAUAGAUCAAUGUGAUUAGUGACUCUGCUAGCACCGUAAAUAUUUAGGUGAGUCUAUGUUGGCGAAGAAAACACCAACAAUAUCUUUAAUACAUUUUCUUCUUAUCAAUUUAGUAUUUACUCCCUCCAUACUGAUAAUACUUAUCGUUUUAGACAAGGGUGAGGUCAAACUUUAGAAUCUUUUAUUAUAAAUCAUUUUAAAAAUAUUUGUAUUUCGUAUAUGGUGACUACAUGUAUACACUAGUCUUAAAAAGUAAUUUAAUAAAAUCAUAUAUUUAUUAACACUUUUAUACAUAUUAUAAUAGAAAAUAAUGGUCAAAGUUGUUUUUUUGGGAGAUUGUGCUCUUGUCCGAAACACAAGUAUUAUCAACCCGGAGGGAGUAUUAGUUUAAUAUGAAGAUAUAUAAUACUCCCUCCAUUUCAGGUUAUAAGAUGUUUUGACUUUGUUUAAAGUCAAACUGCUUUAAGUUUGACUAAGUUUAAAGAAAAAGUAAUAGCAUUUUUAACCCAAGAAAAAUUAUAGAAAAUUUAAUAAGCCUAAUUAAUCCGUCGUUAGUACAUGUGGGUUACUGUACCACUUAUGGCUAAUUAUAGACUAAUUAGGAUCAAAAGAUUCGUCUCGUGAUUUCCAUGCAAACUGUACAAUUAGUUUUUUAUUUUAUCUAUAUUUAAUGCUCCAUGCAUGUGUCUAAAAAUUUGAUGUAAUAUUUUUGGGAAAAAAAUUUUGGGAACUAAACAAGGCCUUAGUAUUAGUCAGGUCUUUUGCGAUGUCAAUCAUGUAGCUCUGAGCUUGCAGUUGCUGUGGGAAAGGAGUUUGCUUGCUCUGAGCUUCUCAAGAACUCUCUAUGGAAGAAGGUCGUUUAGCUUGGCAGAUAUAGAGAUGUUAGUAUGUCCCUAGCAGAUGUCUGUUUACCAAUGCUAGUAUAUAGGCAAACUAGCUGGAGUUCCCAGCAAUAAACCUGUAAGAUGCUUAUGCUUUCGGAAAAAAAAAACAGCGCGUAUAGCUAGCCUUUCCUCUAAAAAUCCUACGCAGCAUAAACACGUAGUGAAACAUGAGGUAGGAUGAGUGACAGAGUGUAUGCUUCCUUUCCUAUGGAAUUCCACUAAUGCUACAGUCUCCCAACGAAAUUCGACCGCAGCAUUCCUCCCCCAGAAAUGAACAUCAACAGUAGUAGAAAUUCCUCCAGAGGAACGAAGGAUAACUACUGAAAAUCCUUUGUUCCAAAAGUAGAUUUGUUUAUUAUAGGGAAAGACCAAAAGAGUCAAAUAAAAAGCCACACAGGUUUGGCGAAGAACAUUACUAAGCAGGAAAGCUUCAAAAUAAAUAAAUAAAUAUAUAUAUUGAAAGUAAGCAGUCUAACCCUGCUGUUUGGACGAGUGUGAUGAUGGUGAGACUCCAGAAAUCCUUCUUCUCAAGCAUAGAGACGAAGCCACCAAGAAGAACAACGGUGGUCCAUAAACCCACCAAGAAGCCCACCCCUUUGACGGCCAUCGACAGGUACCCUACAAACAGAGCAUGGUUGUUGAUAUAUUUAACUUCCAGCCACUCAGAGUGAUCAAGCCCAUAAGCCAUUGUUAGUUCGUCCUCAAAAGAGUGAGGUCAUUUGCAAUGGAGCAAGAGAAUGUAUAGACAGUACACACAUAUAUAAUGGAGCAAGAGUGAGGUUUUUGGAUCUGGUUUUCACAAUAAACUGAGCCUACUCUCUUUGUUAUUUUUUUCCCCGGGAAACUCUCUCUUUAUUAAGUAAUAAGCAGGAACUCACUGCCCUCUUUUGAGAUUUUAUCUAGAAAAAAAAUAUAUGUAAAGCUCCUCGCGUUCGAGGCACGAGCAUGGUAAUUAACUGCCUAAACGUACGACCAGCUAGUAGCUGAUAAUUAAAAUACGUUCAGACCCAUGACCUGCAGGACGCGAUCGAGGUCAAAGUAAUCUAUCCCAAUUUGCACGUUCAGCCUAUUCAGUUCAGGACAAAGCAAGCUAGAUCUACGUUAUAAUAAAUCCUACUCCAUUGUCCCAAAAUAAAUCAAAAUUUGCACAUAAAUCUGGACAUAGGGUAUAUCUAAAUUAAAGUACAAAAGUUGAUUUAUUUUAAAACGGAGGGAGUAGAAAAUAAAUUAAAACUAAUGGAUCUUAUAUUGUUGCCUACUCUGCGGAGGCUCAUGCACAAACGCGUGUGCCCCGUGCACGCACGAACACCUUCCCACAAAAGCCACUGGUGUAUGGUUAGGGUUUGGUGUGGGGUUGAGGAGAAGGGUGUGUGCUGAGGAGGGGGAAGCGAUAGGGUUCCCCAUCUUUACAGGGAUGGCUAGGGAGACAGUGGACUAGUACUGAGCAACAGAUCGACCUGCAGUUGCCGCCGGAGUAACAACAUCGACAACGGGCGGCGGUCGGUGUUGGUGAUGGAGGCAAAGCGGAAAUGAGGUAGGGGGCAAGGGAGAAGAGGGAGGGAGAGAGCUGAAGCUGGUGAGUUCCCGUUCUAUUCCCUUAUUGUUUCCUCACAAUUCCAGUGGAGUGAUGUUUCCUCCCAAUAUAGCUAAAGCCAAAGAGCCCACAAGAGUCAUGGUUGAUUGACCUUAAUACCUGAUCCGCCAUGCAAUCGCCCCACCGACUCGACCAUCUUUGACGGAGCAAGACCGACGGUGAAUUUCGUCAUAGUCCCUAGUGGCUUCUCUCUCCUCACACCAAGCUUUGAGCAUGCCAUAUUUGUCUACAUGUAAGUUUAAAAUGCACCCACCUACUGCUAAGGCAGAGGGAUCUUGAGGCUUAACGACCAUUGCUGAAAUGUGUUAUGCAAGCCUAGCCACCUGAACCUCCGUGGUCUGGAGCUGACAUUCUUCACUCUGCAGUUGUGUAGCAUGUGUGCUACUCUUGGCUACCCUCAUGAGAUGGCCUACCACGGUAGGUAGCUGCCUCCUACUGAUGGUGACGACGACUCUCCCAUGCUACUUGGGAGUCCACUGCAGUGAUUCUCACCAAAUCUUUUGCCAAGACUUCGAUGACCGUCACCGUAGGAGGACACAUCUUGUCGGUGGCCUACCAGAAUGUUGCUCUUGUAGCCAUCGACAUGCUUCACCAGCACUACCUGGACGAGCUGUAGCACUCACAGUUCCUCUGUCACCAUCAUCGUGUUGGAUCAAGGGACUACACCAACUUCAGGAGCGCUGACAGGGAGGACGAAACCACCAUCAUACAUCUGGCGCGUACGAUGAAGGUGUAUGACUCGGCCUGCAUCAACUUCCACCAGUUUGUGCGCAGCAGUCUUGUGGAGAACAACAUGAAGAUUUUGGAGCUAAAGUGGGAGAACUUGUAGCUCAAGAAGGAGUUAGAUGCCAUGGAGGAGCUAGAGCGCUAGCUCAAGAUUUUCCAGGGUUGAUUUGUUGCACCAAGCCACACCACGUCGGCCAUAGCCCGAAGAUCAUUGCCCGCAAGAGUAUCUCCAGACCUGAGCUCAACCUUUAUUCCCUUGCUUUGUCUUGCUUCUUGGAGCCACAUCACGCAUAGCCGGAGUCCUUCGUUCCCUGUGAGGAUGGCACCGCUUACCUACUAUCGCAUAGCUAUUAGUCGUGUGUUUUUCUUUGUUUAUCUUCUUGCAAAAUCGUGCUUGUGGGAAUAGUUUAUACCGGUCUGUUGUGGUAUGACUAUAUCACUCGUUUGAGUCUUGUUCUCUUUUUGUGCUUAAGAACUUGAAUCUUUAAUACCAACACCAUUACAAUAAGAACUUUAAAUAAUUUGAGUUAGAUGAUGGAACUUAGUGUUGAUCUCUUUUCUUCUAUUUUGUAUACCGUAGGAUGCUUCGGAUGGUCAACACCAGGAGGAGUGCAAGUACAAAUGACAACAACCAACUAGUAUGCACCAACCAGGGCACCAUGCCACCCCCACUGCCACUGCCACCGCCACCGCCACUGCCUCCCUCUUCUCACAAUGACAACCCCAUCCUCAUCCGAAUCCUCGGGCAGAAAGCAAACAUGAUUGUAGCUUCUCUCUACCACAUACAUAACCCACCCCAGUAUGCUGCACCACCUCCACCUCCACCGCUACCCCCCACCAUCCCAGUCCAAGCUCAUAGAAUUCCUUAGCAUCUGCCUGCCCACUUUGCCUAGCACCACCUACCAAACAGAUGUGUUGGAUUGGUUGCAUGCGGUCAACCAGAAGUUGGAGACUUUCCAUUGCUAUGAUGAAGAGAAGGACCUACAUCAUAAUGGUUAGUGGUAUCAUUUCCUAGCCACCUAGCCUGCCGGAAAACCUAUCACCUUGGGCCAUUUUGCUCGGCAUUACGAAAGAAUCCAUGUGCCUACAGGAGUUAUGGCUUUGAAGAAGUGGGAGUUCGCAAGCGCUUCGCCUUAGAGUGUUCCAAGGGUAUGGAAUCAAAUGGAACGUGUGUGUAUAAUCUAAAAAAGAUGAUUCAACCAAGAACAACAACUAAUGGAAAGCUUCAGAUAGAGAGGAUUCCUAUGGAUUAAUUAUCUUAAUUUAAGUUAACGUAAAACUCUAUCAAUUGCUUCGAGCAUCGGCUUAACCUUGGUCUACCAAGGAGACUCUAGCCUACUGCUCUAUGAUCUACCCGAACGUGGAGGAUUACAAAGGACGGACACACUGUCACCACCUGCCGCCUACCUCUACAACCCAUG
rnacentral:lncRNA from 1 species